rnacentral:lncRNA from 1 species
AUAUAUAUAUAUAUAUAUAGAGUGAGGCUACUAUGCUAUCGGAAGUACGGAGCCUUCCGUGCUUCCAGUUCGUUUUCGAUGUUGCGACUUUCGAAUCGUCGAUCGGCUCCGUUAAACUUGAUCUAGAGUAUUUGAAGUAUCUAGAAAAUAAAUUUUAUGAUUUUACGAUAUCAUUUGUCUAGUGAACGAAGGGGCUCAAAAUCAACGGCUGAAAAUAAAAAUCUUACAAAAUGUAAUAAUAUGACAUUAAAAUUUUAAAUCAAAGAUAUUGAUCUUGUUUUAUAUAGUAUAAAGAAUUUUCUAUCAAAAUUUCACGUGAUUUGGAUAUUUUUACACCGUUAAACUUGCAAACGGCUUACUACGGCCAUUGAAAUUUGUUGAUUUUGAGUCCAUUCGAUCACUAGGCAAAUGAUAUCGAAAAAUAAUAAAAUUUAUUUUCUAGGUAUUCCAAAUACUCUAGAUCAUGUUUAACGGAGUGGAUCGUUGAUUCGGAAGCUCGCAUCAUUGAAAAUGAGUUGUAAGUAUGGAAGAGCUCUGUGCUUUUGAUGGCAUAGUAGCCCUUAGUCUAUAUAGGGCUCUAUACUCAUAUGGGAAUAGUAGCCCUAGCCUAUAUAUAUAUUGAGCUAGAGUCCGGCUGUGAUGCUUUUAGAAGCACUAAGUAUUUGGUGCUUGUAAUUUUUUAUCCGUUGGAUCUACACUUCUUGAUUAUUCUUAUCCGUUGGAUUAAAUACUAUUCCAUCUACCACCCACUCAACCCUAGGGGGCCUCUAUCAUCUUAACCCUACAUCUCUUGAUCCAAUGGUUAAAAAUCUCACAAGCACCAUUCUCUUGGUGUUUUUGAGAGUAUUGUAGCUCAUCUCUCUCUCUCUCUCUCUCUCUCUCUCUCUCUCUCUCUCUCUCUCUCUCUCUCUAUAUAUAUAUAUAUAUAUAUAUAUAUAUAGUAGAGCUAUUAUGCUAUCGGGAGCAUAAAAUGGUUGGUGCUUCCGAUUUUUUAGCCCUUAGAUCAACCCUAUUGAUCAUUUCUAACCAUUGGAUUAAUAUUAUUAAUCAAUGGGGACCACUCAACCUUAGGAGGACCACUCAACCCUAAGGGGAUCGCUAUCAUCCCAACCGUAGAAUCUUUAAUCCAAGGGCUAAAAAAUCGGAAGCACUAACUACUUUAUACUUUCGAUAGCAUAGUAGCUCUACACUAUAUAUAUAUACCGGCUACUAUACUUUUAUGAGUACGAUCGCCCUUGUGCUUAUAAGUUGUUUUUGAUGAUAGAGCUUCCGAAUUGACGAUCCACACCGUUAAACGUUAUCUAGAGCAUUUAAAAUAUCUAGAAAUCAUAUUUUAUAAUUUUUCGACAUUAUUUACCUUAUGAUCAAAAUGUUACAAAAUUGAUAAUUUUUAACGGCCGGUAUGAGAUAUUUGCUAGUUUAACGGUAUAAAAGAAUUGAAAUUGGUUGAAUUUUUGAUAGAAAAUUUUUAUAAAUAAAGAUCAAUAACUCCGAUCUUAAAUUGAAGGAUCCUAUCAUCCAUUUUUAAGACGUCGUUCGAUUUUGACCGUUCAUUUCAUAUCCGCUUGAUGAACUUUAUUAUAAUUUCGAAAAAUUACGAAAUUUAUUUUCUAGAAGUUUCAAAUACUCUAGAUCAUAUUUAACGGAGUGGAUCGUCGAUUUGGAAGUUCAAUCAUUGAAAACAACUUAUGAGUUUGAAGUGCUCUAUACUCAUAAGAGUAUAGUAGCCCUAGCCUAUAUAUAUAUAUAUAUAUAUAUAUAUAUAUAUAGAGCUAGGCUGGUAUAUUAUCGGUAGCACGAAAGCCUCUGUGCUACCAAGUUGUUUUCAAUGUUGUGGCUUUCAAAUCGACGAUCGGCUCUGUUAGACUUGAUCUACACCAUUGAAAGUAUUUGGAAACUAAAUUUCAUAAUUUUUUGGCAUCAUUUACCUAUCAAACGAGUAGUCUAAAAAUGAACGGUUGGAAAUAAAAAUCUAAUAAAAAAUGAUGAUAAAAGACUUAAAUUUAAGAUCAGGGGUACUGAUCUUACUCUAAAUAGUGAAAAUAAUUUUCUAUAAAAAAUUCAUCAGAUUUGAAUUGUUUUACACCGUUAAACUCACAAACGCAUCGUAUCUACCAUUAAAAUUGUUAAUUUUGAGACCUUUUGAUCACUAACCAAAUAAUGUUGAAAAAUCAUGAAAUUUAGUUUCCAAAUACUUUCAAUGGAAUAGAUCAAGUCUAACAGAGCCGAUCGUCGAUUUGGAAGUCACAUAAUCGAAAACAACUUGAAAGCACGGAGGCUUCGAUGCUACCGAUAGUAUAUCAGCCUAGCUCUAUAUAUUUAUGUAUAUCUAUAUAUAUAUAUAUGUAUAUAUGUAUAUAUAUAUACAUAUGUAUAUGUAUAUAUAUAUACAUAUGUAUAUGUAUAUAUAUAUAUAUACAUAUGUAUAUGUAUAUAUAUAUACAUAUACAUAUGUAUAUAUAUAUACAUAUAUACAUAUAUAUAUAUAUAGAUAUACAUAAAUNCAUAUACAUAUGUAUAUAUAUAUACAUAUACAUAUGUAUAUAUAUAGAGUUCGGCUACUAUAUGCUUAUGAGUACGAUCGCUCUCGUACUUAUAAGUCGUUUUCGAUGAUAGAGCUUCUGAAUCGACUAUCCAUACCGUUAAACAUUAUCUAGAGCAUUUAAAACUUCUAUAAAUUGAAUUUCAUAAUUUUUCGAUAUCAUUUACCUUACGAUCAAAAGCUCACAAAAUUGACAAUUUUUAAUGGCCGGUAUGGGAGCAAGUGGGGAAGAAAUUAGAGAGAACUGCGGCCGAUCGAGGCGCAAACUACGACCGAUUGAGGCGGCGGAUGAGCAAGAUGAGGGAGGAGAUGAAAAUGGUGACGGGCAAAUUGGUCAUUUUGUCAUCACAGUUCACACCAUACUCCCCUGUGAACAUUUGUUAUUUUACAAGGGGGCGAAGCGUAGGUUUUGAAAUGACAAUGGAGGAAAGUGAAAAAGCGGGUAUUAACAGGAGAGUUUUAUGUAAUUUAGCCUGAUUUUAAUUGGGUUGCUUGAUAUUUUAUUUAUGUUGUGAUUGAUAAAUUCUUACAACCAAUUGUCUACUGACUCUUUUACACAUUCUGAUCAAUAUAAGUAGGAGCUAUGUUCCUGAGUUAAGUUACUUAAAAUAUAGGGAUAAUUCCCUACAUACCCCUCAAAAUUUUAAAAAUAUCUCAUUUACCCCUACUUUUUUUCUCUUUCCAAUAUACCCCUCAUAUGUUUCUCCGUUAUUCCAAAAUACCCCUGCAGUUACCACCCGUUAAGUUAACUUGGGUUAAACGUAAGUUAAAUAUCUACCACAGUUAAAAAAAAUUAAAAUGCCACUUUUGCCCUUAACUUAAGGGCAAAUAAGAAAUGUUGGUGAUGGUAGAAUGAUAUAUUUGAAAAGACCAAAAAGCAAAAUACUUUUUAUGCCCCUAACUUAAGGGUAAAUAAGAAAAGUCAGUGAUGGUUGAAGAGUAUACUUGAAAGGGUAAAAUAGUAAUUUUAUAGAGAUAACAGAGUUCAUUAACAGAUUUUAACUCUAAAAGGUAUAUUUGAAAUAGGUUGGAAUGUAAAAAAGGUAUUUUUAAUAUUAGCCUUCUAAGAGGAGUAAAUCAGAAAGUCAUGAACUUUUUAGGGGUAUAUAAGCAAUUGCCCCUAAAAUAUAAUACAUCCUUCUUGUUGGAUGUUGCAAUUUUUAUGUUCAAGGUGAAUUACAAAAGUAUGAUGUUGGACAUUGCCCUUAGCUAUGCAAUAAGAUAAAUUUGCUAUAUACGUCGCUCUUGCAUGGCCUGAUAUUUAGAUUUGCAUGUCCUAAGAAAAAUCCUAAAUUUAUUUAGGGAUAUGACCCGACUAUAUGUAUUGAUAAUAUUAUGUAAUUUUGUGUAUAAAUAGGAUUCAUAUUAAUCGUAGUACUUUUCUUUCAAAUUCUUUAUCGAGAAUUGUUGCAUAUCAACUUGAUGAUGGUAAUUUAUCCUAAACAUAAUUUCUAACCAGUAUAAUACUAUUGAUUGGCAUUUUUGAUAUGUUAUGUAGACCUCACACUGAUUAUCCCUCAUCAAUCUUGAUAUGGUUGUAUUAUGCUUAGGCAUCUUAUGUUAUAUCGAUCGGUUUGAGAUAUUCAUGAGUCAUUUUUAGUAUGUAGGAUUUGACUUGAAAUCUUCGUUGUUAUAGCUGGCAUUUGUAGGUCUUGAAAAUAUCGGAAUGAUGAUUAUAUAUAGUUUGUUGUCAUAAACAAUAGAUCAGUUUAUCUUUACUCAAUAUACUAUAUGAACCAGACAAAGGCCCAAAUUAUUCUGGACUAGGUAGGCCUAGGGUAUGGCACCGAGUCGAAGACUUGAGACUUUGAGAUAUAUGAGUUAUACAUAAUUAUAUGGAUUAGAAAAAUUACUUCCAUGUUUAUUUAGAGUCAUGCAGUUAUUGUGGAAUGUGGAUGGAGAUUUAUGGUAGGAUUCACAUGAGUUGAUGGGUGCCAAGUUUAACAAGUCAAAACAUGAUAAGCUAACACUAUUAUGAGAUGAUAUUUGAUCGGAUUCCGAAUUCCAUACGCCAAGACGGCCAAGGACAGGCAAAGUGCUGAAAAGUUAGCAUACAUUGUGAGGGCAAUAUGCUGAGUGAUAAUUGCACAAAUCAGUUGGGAUGAUUGAUGAGAAUAAAUAGCAUACUCUUCAAUGAGAAUAAAUAGCAUACUCUUUAAUGGCCAAAUAUGUUCUGACGAUCUACCUUUAAGUGAUACGUAGUGUUUGGAGAUAAGAGGUGUGAAUUUGGAUAUAGUUAUAGAUUGGUGUUUGGUGUUGCGGUACCACAAGUAGCCAUCUGUUAUGUUCUCUUUACUGCAUUGUUUAUAUAGUAUACUUAGGUUUGGACUCUUCAAUAUAUUGGAAUAUAGUUGGGUGAUACUACCAUUAAUUAUUAAAAUUGAUUAAAUAAUUAUUAACUACUUGAGAUAGUAUUCUAAUCGCCUUGGAUUGGAUAGAAGAACCAUAAGAGCGAUUUACAAGGUAAGAUUCUACAGACAUUAAGUUUGACACAUUUUAGUAGUAGUUAACUAGUUCUUUUGCAUGAAUCAUUUUACGUACUUCUAUACUACGUUCUUGCCCUUCUUUGCUGUGCUGCUCUAUACUUCCACUCAUUUGCUUCUAGUGUAAUUCGUCUUGUAGUGUUUUGAGUCUCCUUUUGUACCAUAAAGCUUUCCAUUUGUAGAAGUUUCAAGUUUUAAUAAAAUUCUCUUAUAGUGGUAUGAUGUCACAACUCGAUCUAGGUGGAUUUGAGUCGCAACACGCAAUGUAUCGAUCGUAAAAUAAAUAAAUCACAAUUUUCUAUCAAACCAAGGAGUGAAUUAGACAUUUUGGCAUAAAGAUAAUUGAAAAGCAGGUUAAGAGCGUAACAUGAAAAAAAAAGAAGUAAUGUGAUACCCUAAUAGUCUCACAUCGAAUAGUUAUGGCUAGAUGUGGGAGUAUAUAAGCUUGAUUGUAAGGACUGAGAUUUUUACAGUGCAACUAAACUCUCUGUUGAUGAUGUUUAUGUGUGUUAUUUAAUUACAUAAGCACUCGUCAAUUUAAUUACAUAAGCACUCGUCAAGUUUCAGGAGAAAAUGAGCUAGAACGGAGAAGUUUCACGAUUAUUAGUUUUCACUUAAAGUGAAUAGUAACUCGAUUUUCCGGAGAAGCUACGGAGUAGAGUUGGCUUUCGGCAUGUAUCGGACUCCGUUCAUAGCGAUCCAAUAGCUCGUUUCGAUCGGUUCAGCUGUUCUGGAACCAAUGGCACUGACGAAUUUCAGAUCUGAUGCACGGUUUUCAAGAAAAAGGAGUUUUACCGAAAAGAGGGUUUUCGCUCUUUGCUUUUCUGUGCAUUCUAAAGCUUCUCGCGCUCCGUGCUUGUGACCUGGAGUAGGGUGAAGAAUGUUUCGGGUCCCUACUAGUGGUAGGGAAGUCAAUUUCUAUGCGAAGUUGGUUUAUUGGGUUUACACAUUGGUAUACGUGCGAUAUAUGGAUUAAUUAGAGAGCGGAUGGGUUCCGUCGCGAAUCCGUGACCAAAUUGGAUGAAACGAAAUCAUAGUUUCGAUGCCCCCGUUGUACUGAAUGCGAUGGCUCAGUCGGAUCGAAAAUCCGACGGACGGAUCUUCGGGAAUCGUGAAAAGUCCGCUGAGAGGUCAAGUUGGCAAAAUCGAUUAUUCGCGAAAAGGUCCAAUAUUUUAUGCGUGGUCUUGCGCGAAUUCGAACGUCGAGGGACCUAUACGCAUAAUCCACAUGCAGGCAGGGGGCUGGACUGUAAAUAUUAGACUUUGGAGGGGUUCCUCGCAAAGUGACACCUUGUAUAAAAUGGGCAUCUAGGGUUUCCCAUGACUUUUUGGCUGCCCACUUUCACCUAACAAACCCUAGCCGCCUCAGCACCUCCCUGCCCAACCCGUGAGCACGCUCCGGCCGUCGGCGUGCUGCUCCGGCCGCCGGAAAAGCCACCUCGACCUCCUCUCUUGCUCUCUCGGCCACCCUCUCCUCCGACUUGGCCAAAGUUGCGAAGGAAGCUUCUUUCAUCCCUUGGAGCAUCAUCCUCUGGCCGAGGCCCAUCUCCGGCGUCCUCCCCCGCCGGCCCCGGCCACCCCCGAGCACCGCCGGAGCCACCCCUGCUCCCUGCGGCCAGCUCGGGUCAGCCCAGACCGAGCCGGUUCGAACUCGGCGCCCACGCCUUAUCUCGGCCGUGCCGCCCUCCUGUCGGUCCUGGCGACCUCCGGCAGCCCGGCGCGCGCGUCCCCCGCCGUCCCCGCGCGCCGCCGGCCGCCGCUGCAACAUCCUGCGGCCGCCUGGAAUCGUGCGGGCUGAGGCCGAGUCCGUUUAGUUUCCAAGCGCCGCUGCCACCCACCGAGGGGUGCACCGCCGUCCCCUUGGCCUCCGGCGCCGCACCGUAGCCGCCCCGACCUUCUCCGGCCGCCGCCGCGCCGUCGGGAAGUUUGAAUCCGAGAGGGAGUGUGUGGACUCGAUCUCCGCCGCCGCGCCACCGGUUGCCGCCCGCCGCCGGCCAGCACCCUCCUCGGACCUCUCGGACCGAGUGCUCCCUCCUCCGGCCGGACCGCCCGCCUCCCGGCCGCCGGCGACCAACCCUAGCUCUCCUCGGGUCUGGUAAGGGUAUUUUAUGUUCCAGCACUGUUUUUCGAGGUUCCGGUCACCUUUCCGGUGAUCCGAUAAGCCUCCUAAACUUCAGGAAGUAAGCACGAUGAUCUACAACUCGUGCUGAACAUCGUGCUCACCUCCGACAGCGGCAAAGAUGCCCUGGUUAGUGAGUUAGUCGCGAUCUUCGCGCUGUGCGCGCAGUUUAACAGAACUUCGCGUCGCUCGUGCGCGCACCGCAGUGGCCGGCAGUGCUCCGAAAGGUGAGCACGGCCUCCGACAUGCUGAAACCUGUCAGCGAGUGUGACGGUCGGAUUAAUCGACCUCUGGUUUGCGUGCACGGUCCAGAAAAGCCUAGAAAUCACAUGAAAUGUUGCGAUUUCAUGUAUCGGUAUGGGCUUUUAGGAUUUCUACUUCGUUGUAGAUGCUGUUGGCAGCAUGUUUGGGUUGAGGAUAACCUCUGGAUUGAUCGUCCAAGGCCCAAAGCCCUUGCGGAGAUCGGAAAUGUAUUUUCGGUGCGUUUGUCGGCAAAAUCCGCCGACGGAACGCGGUUUUGGUUUGGAAUUAUUCCGACGAUGCUUCGUGAGCUAUUGUGUAGUCGCCGAGCCUUGUUGGCUGGUCACUCACAUCAUUUCGAGAGUUCAGAAAUGACGGGUGAGCGACGGUGGGUUCCGGUGUCGAAAUAGACACUUCCGGGAACCGGGAUCGGAACGAUUAUCCGACGAUAAUCGUUUCGGAGUGAGUUAAGGUCUCUGCUGCCAAGUCACACGUAAAUUUGUAUUUAGGGGCAGCGGGUGACUCGUGGUACGAGUCGGUGCCUUCCGGGAUAGUCCGUGGGUCCCGCCAGAAAUCGGUGCGAUUACGGGAUUUCCGACGUAUUACGACGAUUGGUUUGGAAACCGAUUUUAUGGGUUUAUUUAUGGGGUUAUACUUUUUAGGGUUUCUUAGUUGUGGGUUAGACACUAACCAGUGGACCUCCUUAGGUCCGGUUGACGUUCUUUUGCAGUCAGGAGACAGGCGAGACAGUUGUACGGGUGGGUACUUCGAUCGACCGUUGGUACAGUGGUACACGCUCGGUGAUAGUUUCUUACCCUUGCUCUUUUUGUUAUUAUCCAUGCUUAUAUUAUUAUUGUUGAGCUUUGCACCUCUAUUGUUUAAAUUGACACCGUUGUAUUGAUUAUACUCUACUAGAUGUUUCCAUGCUUUAGUAUCAUGUGUAGGAGUAUAGUCUAUCUGUAUGUGAUACCAUGUUUCCUUGUUGGCUCUACUUACGCUAUUCUGAGCAUACUGUUUCAUAUUUAUAGUAGAACGAUCCGUGAUUAUCUGUGAGAUUAGCGAUAUGUCGUCGAUUCUAGUAUUCAGUAUUUGUGACCUAUUCGGUGAGUUCUCGACCUUUGUUGUCUGAUGACCGUUGAGAUCGGUAUACCCUGAGGGUGGGAUUGUCGGUUAGUUGCACGGAUGAUUAUACUUUACUCAUAUCCUAUUACUUGUGAAUGAUUGUGUCGAGUUUCACAUCCUAUACUUGUUGACGUAUUGGUCGAGUUUCACAUCCUAUACUUGUGAGUGAUUGUCGAGUUUCAUAUCCUAUACUGUUGUGACAUGAUGGGUCGAGUUUCACUCCUAUACUUGUGACGUGAUUGGAUCGAGUUUCAUAUCCUUAUUGUGACAUGAUUGAUCGAGUUUCAUAUCCUGUACUAUGUGACCGUGAUUGGUCGAGUUUCAUAUCCUAGUUGAUGUGAGUGGGUCAGUCCUUGUGGUUCAUUGAGCAGUAUUUUGCAUAUGUUUGAGAGGAUGUCGAUGUUGUCCCAUCCUAGUUGACACUAAGUGGUCGUUCUUGAUGCUUCUUUACAGUUGAGACCUAUGCCGUCGAUGGGCCUGGGGGGGCAGGAUUGUCGGCUGGUUGCGACUGGAUUGAUCAUUGAGCAUAUUGCAUUGAUCGCCCGAUACUCGUCGCAUUUCACGAACACUGGCGUCUGAUCCACCGCAAGGAGUGUUCUUUUCCGGAAAAGUGGUUGAAUGGUGACACCGUGAGGCCCUAGAGGGGUUAUAUGCACUGGAGAGUAGUAGUGCAUUGGCUUGAGGUCUGCGGUGCUGACAAGAGAGCAUUGUUUCAGAUUGGGCACUUUGGACUUCUUGACCGGUUGACGCAUAUGUCUAUCGUAGCAGUCGUUGCAUGCAUAUUUACAGUUCUUACUUUUAUGUUUGCCUUGCUACUAUAGUAGACAUUCAUGUAUACUUUCGGUUCCAGUUACAGUACGGUAGCCGUAUUCAGUCUAGUUCUUACUUUCUUUUAGUUAUUGCUACUUGUAUUCGUUAUAUCUGCUCAAUUAUCUUACAUAUCUCUUUCGUUUUAUUAUUGCUACUAUAUUUCACUAACCGUGUUGUUUGUAUAGCUUCUCCUGAUCCGGUGAGUAAUUCUCGUUUCUUCGGCUUGCGAUACCCACUGGGAGGGGAGACAUGUUUACAUGUUCUCACCUCCACGCCAUUUUCAGAGUAUCGCGGCGAUGGUAGGUGGUCGAGACGUAGGUACGUGUGUAGCGGUCGAUAGAGCUUCGACCCAGGUUAUUUUGUAUAGUUAUUACCCUAUUUAUUUCAGUUGUUAUAGCUUAGAUAGGUUAUAUGGUUCAUAUUUUUAUUACAUUUGAAAUAUGGAUUUCGUGAUGUUAAUAAAUGAUUUCCGGAUUUUGUAAAUAAAAGGUUUUCCUACCCCUCGUGGUAGCUUGCUUAAAGAAUAAAGGUUUCCGUGUAGGAAACAGUUUUCAAAAGGUUUUCUGUGGAUUUUGCAUCUUAGUAUUUCAAAACCUGUUUCUGUGGUUGGAAACAUUUUAACUGAUAGAUGUGGAUUUAUGUUUAAAUAUCGAAUAUAUAAAUGUGAACCUGUUAUGUGAAUGGUGUAUGAAUAUAUAAUUGUUGGUUAUUUCUAUGUUCAUUUGGUUGUGGUUGUACCUGGGUUACUUCUUGUAUUUGUGUGACGCCGUGCAAAUACAGGGGAGACUCUGUCCGUGUGAAUAGUGGAUUCCCUGUGUUUGUGGUGGAUCUGGCAUACUCUGGGGUCAGGCUUUUCAAAAAAAAAAAAAAAAAAUUCAGACGCUUUUCCGCUAUGUUUUAAACUAAAAGGGACCCCGGGGCGUGACAUUGAUUGGGCUAGACAUAAUAACUGGGCUUAAGUAUUUUGGGCAGGUGGUAUGAGCCCAACGAGUUAUUGUUGCUAGCGGGUCAGGUCGUUACAUUUGGUAUCAGAGCCAGUUCACCAGCCGGAAGUGUGAGAUGAGUCUUGGCUAAGCCAGGGUCGGAAUGACAGACUAAGCCAGGGUCGGUGAUUCAUAGGCUAAGUCAGGAUCAGAAUAACAAAGGCUAGUGAGGCAAGUCUCACAUCGCCUGGUGAUUUUGGGCUGUGUGUGUGUUUAGGGCUGACGAGGAUGUCAUGGCCUAAACGGGGGGAGUCUGUGAUACUUCAGUAGUCGAUUGGGCUAGGCAUAAUAACUAGGCUUAAACAUUUUAGGCCGGUGGUAUGAACCCAACGAGUUAUUGUUGCUAGCGGAUUGGGUCAUUACAAGUAAGCAUAUAUGUUUUUCAACGAAAUAUAAUUUUCUUAAAGUGUUUGCUUCAAUGCAUCGUUACACUACAACAGAAUUAGAUUAUAGGGACACAUGUUUGGGACACUUUUGAGUAAGUGUUCUAUUUAUGCUGAAACUUUAAAAAACAUCUACUAAUACCUAAAUAUAAAGCCCAAUCCAACCAAAAAUAAAAGAUUACUCUACUUAACCCACCACACCCAGUCCAUUUGGCCCGAUUACAAACAGAAAAGAAAAAAAAAAAGAAAAAUCAAUUACCAUCUUUUCUUCUCUCUUCACUCAAUGCACUGAAAUUCUAGACGAAGAGCUUUUCCUGUUGUCCUCCUCCGCCACCACAGCCAACGAGAUAGAGUUUAGGCGGUUGCUAAAUACUUAAAUAAGUGUUGGUAAAUUAGCAGCACUCUUUUAGGUUAUAGCGACACUCUUUAACUGUCACUAUAUACCUAGCGACCCCACAUAUAGCAACAUUUUUUAAAAGUGUCGGUAAUUUUAGCUAGCAGCACUUUUUUGACAUGUACCUAUAUUUAAAAGUGUUACUAUAGACCAUUUUUGUUGCAGUGUUAUUGGACUCUAUAUAUAAUUCUUCAAUUUUUUUUUCCAAUCAAUAGUAAUAAAAUAAUAUCAAAUUUUCUAGAAACGAAGAAAAAUAUCAUCACGAUGGAUUGAAAAGGAUGUAUUUAUAUGUAUAUGGAUGCAUGGUUACAAAAGGAAAGUUAACUACUAAUUUUAUAUGUAUAUGGGUGCAUUUUAUUAUUUUCAAAACGAAGCACAACUUGGGUUACCAGUUUGACUAAUUUUAACUCUUUGUACUAGUUUUAUGAGAAAUUAUUAUAUCAUAAUUUAUGUUUCUACCAUAUACGUACCACAAGGCCUUUCAUUUUAGAUAACAUAAAACAAUAGUUGGUCUUGUAUAUUACAUACAUAACAAACACACCAAAAUGGAGAACGGAUAAAUAGAGACCGUUUUCUAGGUAUAGAAAUUAGAAGUUUUUUCUUGCCAAUUUAAUUUUUCUGGUUUGUUAAAACUUUAUCACUCACAUCAUCUUUAAAAAGAAGUUAUGACUGUGUAGUAAUAUUUCAUUAAAAAUGUAUUUGAUUUCUUGGUUGUUGAAUUAUCCACAAUUCCAUUUUUUUAAAAAAAAUCUACUUCUUUUGAGUUAGAUUAAUUGGAAAUUAUAUAUUAAUAAACCAUUAGAAAUGUGUGUUUAUUAUGUUUGGUUUGUUAUUUAUAUGGCCAUUACGUAUUAUUUUCUAUAUUGUAUACUAUAAUCCCAUAAUGUGCACCAAAUUUGUGCUAAAGAUUAUAUUUAACUAUUUAUAUAUGUUAAUAAUAACUAACUACAUUUGAUUAUCAACAGCCAUCACUAAUGCUAUCUAACACUCUUGUAACCUAUCACAAUAAUAUGCACCACAUGCAAUAGGUGCUGUUACCGCAGUAACUAACUACCAUCAUCACUAAUCAUACUAAUGCUAGUUGCAUUAUCAUACUCCACAACUGCCAAUUUGGUCUGUUCGAGUACGUCCACAGACGCCGAACGGACAGCACCUUCCCUGUCCGUCCAAGGCUCAACCCAACAUGUAUGACAAUUUGCGCAACGAAAAUUCAGAUAUACAUGGCUUGCACGAGGGCAAGCAACAACCAAACAAGUGAAAGUACUACUACUAUUACAACCACACAUGUAUCUUGAUUACAUUUAACCAAAUACAAGCUUAUCAUAAUUUACAUUCAUUUUUCGCAACUACAUCACACAUCUUUCCUCAAAAACAUAUGACACACAUCCAUCUACAUUAUUUAUACAUAUCCCUUAACAUCACACUUUUCAUCAUAAACCCAAAAGAUGAAGUAAGGGUACAACUAAUGCAUGGAUGUCCACUACCUAAAGCGCUAUGCCCUUGCUGCGAUCCUCGACCACCUCGCUCGGGUCCGAAUCUGUAAAAUGGUUGGGUGAGAACUACAAGAAGUUCCCAGUGGGUUCGGCCGCCGACCCCGCUGACUUUCCCACUAGGUCUAAACAGGCAUGAAUAGAAGAUAAAUAGAUAGAUAGAUAGUCAUUUCUAAACAAAUACAGCUACUGUGUCUGAAUAAAAAUAAUAAACCAAUAUCUAUAUGAUGCUCAUGAUGCAUGCCGAUUGCCAUUGUCAAUACCCAAUCCUCUUGGCUAACCCGUAGGUUUAGCCCCAAAACUCACCAACCAAAUCUCUAAAAUCGGGGAGAUACCGCUACGACUCGACGGGACCGUCUUCUGGGGAGAUACCGCUAAGACCCAGUGAUGACCACUCCGGAGCUCAUCGCCUGAGGGGGAGCGACCACCCUUAAGCAUAAGACUAUAGGUGAGUAUGAUCCAAUCCACAACCAUGGGGAUGCCAUGUCUACUAAUGCCACAACAUGCAAAGUGUUCUAUUCACUAGCAUUCGAUGCCUCAAAGUGCUAUUUCAAUCAUUUGUCAUAAUGUUACCAUAUUUUCUACCUUGGCUAGAUUCAUAUCCAAAUUCAUACAUCUAUAGGGUUCACAAAUGUCCAAUGUUCCAUUGCCAACUCAUAUGCAUCUUUAUACUAAAAGCAUGCAAAAAGUACCAACAUAUUACCAUUUAACCCUACAAUGCAUGAACCCUACAUAUACACAUACAUGCUCAAAUGGUGACUUAGACAUAAAGAGAAAUCCAACUGUUUCGGAUAGCACCACUCACCUCGUAGGGAUGCUAGAGUGCUAGAAUCCGAGUUUUCCAAUUUAUAUUCGCCGUUUUCUCUCGACCCACGACAAACAAAGCUGAAAUGAGGUUUUCCCUUAAUAUCUCGGCGUAGACUUGUCAGAAUUCCAAUCCGAGUCACCCAACGCGUCAGUUUAUACUCCAAUUGGGCUACAAGAGAUCAAUUCCAUCUUAUACCUCAAUUCUAUAAAAACCCUAAAUUUAAUCCUAGGGUUUCCAUAAUCAACAAAUACCCAAUUUUCUUGGAGAUUCAUAGUUUAACCUAGCAUAUCAUCUUCUAGAGACCACAAUUAGAAGGAAAUUAACCAAACCCUGGCUCAUAUUCACAUAAACUCACCUCAAGUUCUAGCUUUCUCCUCAACCCUUUGCACAAGAGCUAGCUUCUUCCUCAAGUAAGCUUCCUUCUCCUCCAAACUCUACCCUUGGAGCAAACCCUAGAGAGAAAAAGAGACAAAGAGAAAGAGUAGAGAGUGAGAGAAGCUUCUAGAGAGAGAAAGAGAGUUUUUCUCUUUUGUUGCAGUGUGAAGGGAAUGAGAGGGGGAAAUAACAUAACACCCUCAUAUAACACUCUCACUUGCACAAUUGCACCAUAGCCCCUCACAUAACAGAGUUUGACCAAUUCUGUCGUUUUUCGUGUACGGGGUCCGGACCCUACAACUAGGGUCCGGAUCCCGAGAGCAUUUCCAGCACAACUUUGCAUAGAAAAUCUCGCAUUGCUCUCCAAGGUCCCAACCACUUGUUUAGAAUACUCCGAAGCACUCGGAAUAAUUAACGGACCUCACCGAGUCGUCCGUUACCAUACUUCGGUCAACUUGAUUGAAGUUCGGUAUAUCCUACCGGGGAUUUGGUAUGUUACAUGCAUGGCAUCAUCAUAGGUAACCACAAUCAUCUUCCACUUCUUCUUUCAUUUCAGAUACUAAUAUUAUAGGUCACCACUGCUUCUGGCUGUAAUUAUUAUUAGCCACUAUUGUGAGGACUGAGAUUCGACAGCGUAGCUAAACUCUCUGUUGAUAAUGUUUUUAUGUGUAAUUUAAAUACAUAAGCACUCGUCAAGUUUCAAAAGAAAACAAGUUAGGAUGGAGAAGUUAUGCGACCUUCACUAAUCACUUAAAGUGAAUAGUAGCUCUGGUUUUUCAGAGAGGCCAAUCAGUGGUGGUGGCUUCUGGUCCGUAUUAGACUCCAUUCAUAAUGAUCCAAUAGCUCGUUUUCGAUGGUUCAACUAUCCUGGACCCAAUGGCACCGGCAGAUUUGGAUUUUAAGGCACGAUUUUCAAGAGAAAGGAAUUUUAUAGCAAAAAGAAAUUUUUGAUAAUUGGAGAUUGGAUGGGUUCCGUCGCAAAUCGGCGACCAAAUCGGGUUAAACAAAAUUGUAGUUUUGAUGCCCCAGUCGUGCUGAAUGCACUGGCGCAACCAGAUCGAAAAUUCGACGGACGGAUAUUCUGAUAUCGCGUGUUGAUCGAGGAGAGGUCAUUAAUGGCGAAACGGUAAUUUUGUGAAAAGUCUUACAUUUUAUGUACCGUUUUGCGUGAAAUCGAAUGAUGGGGUACGCAAACGCAUUUUACUCGCGCUGUGAGGGACUCAAUAAGAGAAUCCGAGUUUUCGGGAACUUUUGUGCAAAAUUGCCCCUUGUAUAUAUGUAUGCUCUAGGGUUUCAUCAUGGAAACCCUAACCCUAGCUGCCUUAGUUACUCAGCUGCUCCCCAGCCAUCACCAGCACCCCACUUUGACCUCGCCGCGCACACCCCGGCCGCCGAUGAGCUCCUUUAGCCGCCGGAGAAGGGCUUCAUUGCCUUUCUCCGCCAUCUCCUCCUCCAUCUUUGCCUGUGGAUUACCAGGGAAAUCCAUACCCUCGGGUUCCCUCCCUUGGCCGUGCCCGACCUUCGACAGCCUCCCUCGUUGGUCGCCGCCGCCCCCGCGCGCCGGUAUUGCCGGUCUGGGCAGCUCGUGGCCAGCCUGUGCAGGCUCGCGCUGAGACUAGUGCAGCUGCUGGCUUGUGCGCUCGCCGCAGCCUCACGCUAACACCGGCCACGCCGCCUCCCUCCACCCUCCGGCGAACCACCGCCAUCGCCCCGCAGCUCCCCGGCCUCCUUGGUAGCCGCUGUGACUAGCUGAAACCGUGCCGAGCCCGCGCCGGCUCGGGCUGCUCCUGUGCCGCACGCGGCUAUUCCCCGAUUGGCAUGAGCACCGGUUCCCUUGGGUCGGCCGCACGUAGCUGCCGCUGGCACCCCCGCCGCUGGAGCCCCCCUUCUGGCCGGACCCGAGCCAGGCUUCUCUAUAACUGUGCGGCUAGGGCAUCAAUGGUUGCUGUCUCCGCCGCCUUCCGUCGCCGACCGACGCGAGCCCUGGCCUCCCUAUGUUGCCCGUACCCGCCUGCCGCCGGUGCGCCCACCGCCGAGCCGCCGCCGGCCGUGCCAUGGCCCCCCAUUGCCUGGCGAGCUUUAUUCUAGCCUAUUUGUGCACUAUUUGGGGGUUGCAUUCACUGUUCUAACGAUCCGAGGCUGUUUCGAUGCCUCGAAAGGUGAGCACGGUGAUUAUCGGUCAGUGCUGAUCACAGUGCUUACUCAUUUGGGGUCAACGAGCGUCGGAUGAGCAAAUUAGAAGCGUUUUAGUUUCAGUGGGCAGUAUUCGCUGAACUUUGCGUCGCACCCGCGCCCUCCACAGUGGAUGGCUGGGCUCCAAAUUAUGAGCACAGCCUCUGGCAUAUUGAGACCUGUCAGUACAUGUCUCGACCGACCACGAAAGCCCUCGGUUUGCGGUAUCGAGCCGAAUAACCCUGUAAAUCACAUAAAAUAUCGUGAUUUUACGUAUUAGUGGGGACUUUUAUGCAAUUGUGCACUUCGUGGCUGCUGUGGGCAGUACGUGUGGGAUGCGGGUGACCUUUGGACUGGUUGUCCAAGGCCCCAGUCUUUUUCGGAAAUCGAAUGUCGAUUUUCGGUGCGUUUUUCGGCGAAAUCCGUCGUCGGAACUUGAUUUCGGUUUGGAAUUCUUCUGACGGUGCGUCACUGUAAAUCAUGCUGUCGCUGAGCCAGGUUGGUAAGUCACCCGUGUCGUUUCGAGGGUUUGGAAACGACGGGUGAGCGACGGUGGGUUCCGGUGUCGAAAUUGACACUUUCGGGAACCCGGAUCGGAACGAUUAUCCGACGAUGAUCGUUUUGAUGUGAGGAGAUGUGUUGCUGCCGAGUCACUCAAAUUAUUGCGUUUAGUGACAGCGGGUGACUCGUGGCAUGAGUCGGUGAUUUUCGGGAUAGUUCGUGGGUCCCUACGGAGUCCCGGUGCGAUUUUCGGGACGUCCGGCUAGUUACGGCAAUCGGUUUUGCAAAACCGAUUCCCGUGGGUUUACAGGUAGGGAUUAUGAGUUAGUGGUUCGUAUUUGUGGGUUGGUUUCUAACCCGGUGGACCCUUCGUAGGUCCGGUUGAUUUUCUUCCGCAGUCGGGAGACCAGUGCUACGUACCUACAGAUAGGUAUUUCAACCUGAAGUCGAUAUAGUGGUGCACUCUCGGUGACAUCCUUCUACCCUUCUCAAACUAUUACCUUGCAUAUAUUAUAUUGAGCCUUGCACCCUUAUUAUUUUCUUAUCGCUCUACUUGGUUAGUUUACCUAUCUAGCAUCAUGAGUAGAAGUAGAGCAGGUUUAUGACUACAUGUGAUAUCUGUGACCUAGACUGUCGGUUCUUGUAUCUCGUACUAUGACCUAUUCGGUCGGUUUAUUGUAUCUGAUAUUGUGACCUACUUGGUCAGUGCGACUACUUGGCGACCUACACGGUUGGUAUAUCCUGAGGGAUAGGAUUGUCGGCUAGUGGCUGACGGCUAGUUCUGGAUUAUACCGAUGCAUAACGUGACAUCCUUGUGACCUAUUGGUCGGUUCUUGUGCAUAUAUGUUAAUUGACAUUGAGUGGUCGGUACUUGCAUACCUUCGGAAGAAUGUUGAGUUGUUCCAUCCUAGUUGACCGAGUGGUCGGUACUUAUGUUCCUUGUGGUUCGAUGACCUAUAUGGUCGACAUACCCUGAGGGGUAGGAUUAUCGGCUAGCUGCCGACAGUUGGCUAUUGAGCAUAUCAGCAUUGAUCGUCACUGCUCGUACGCUUUCACGUACACCAACAUUUUGGCCACCGCAAGAGGGUGUUCUUUUCUUAAAAAGUGGUUGGGAGUGCCAACCCGUGAGACCCGAGUGCUUUAGCAAGGGUUAUAUGCUUUCAGACCCGGGUGCUUCAUGCGAGGGUUAUAUGCUUUCAGACUCGGGUGCUUUAUGCGAGGGUAAUAUGCUUUUAGACCUGGGUGUUUAUACGAGAGUCAUUUACAGGUUUGAGCAGUUGUGGCACAGGUCUGAUGUCUACGAACCAAUAUGGUAGGUUUCUGAUUUGGUUACUUUUGGGAUUUGUUGUCUGGUUGAUGCAUACAUACAGUAGCGGUAGUGAUUCAUAUAUAUAUAUAUAUAUAUAUAUAUAUAUAUAUAUAUAUAUAUAUAUAUAUAUAUAUAUAUAUAUAUAUAUNUAUGGUCAUUUACAGGUUAGAGCACUAGUGGCACAGGCCUGAGGUCUGCGGACCGAUAUGGCAGGUUUUUGAUUAGGUACUUUUGGACUUAUCGUCCGAUUGAUACAUGCAUACAGUAGUGGUAGUGAUUCAUAUAUAUAUAUCAUUUCCUUGUUUAUCAUUGCUACUGUACUACCAUUAUCUUUACUUUUGUUUAUCCUUCUUGACUGGUGAAUACCCCUCAGCCUCGUCGGCUUACGAUAGCCAUUGGGAGGGGAGAUAUGUGUACAUGUUCUCAGCCCCCCCCUUCAGGUGACGUCGCGGGUCCAAGUCGGGACGGUGGAUGAGGAGCGUUCCUAGCGAUCGAUUAGAGCUCCUGACCCGGUGGACUUUGGUUAAAUCUCUCAACUUGCCUUUUCAAAUAAAUAACUUAGACAUACUAGUUAAGUUGGUUUACUUUAUUUGAAUUCAAUUUAAAAUGUAAUAAAGUACUUAUGGAUUUCCUCAUGAGAUGAAAACGGUUUUCUACCCCUCGUGGUAGCGUAUUUUAAAAGGAAAAGAUUUCCGUAUUGUAGUAUCCUUAUAUAUAUAUAUAUAUAUAUAUAAUGCCACGUGCCCCCAUGCAUGUAUUUCAUGCUUAUCUAAUUAGAGGGUUGUACAUGCCUCCUUAAUUAAAAUUUCCUCCCACNUGUAGUAUCCUUAUAUAUAUAUAUAUAUAUAUAUAUAUAUAUAUAUAUAUGGAUGCUGCCACGUACCCCCAUGCAUGCAUGCCUAUCCACUUCUCAGCUUGAGGGUGCUCUAAUUAAAAUUUGCUUUAUCUCUUUAAUGUGAAGUAGAGAGCCACACGAGGUGGAGCUCAGAGGAGUAGCCGCGGAGCUCGGAUUCGACAUCGACGUCGCGCCGCGGAGCCGUUCGAGGAUACGGUUGCAGUCGUAGCAUCGCGAGGAGUUCGAGCAAGGGCGUGGUUUUCGCCGUCCUCGACGUCGCACCGGCGCUGGAUUCGCUGUCGAGGAGGGUAUCUAACUUUCCUCCUUGGAUUACUUGAACGCACGGUUUUGAGCUCGCGUGCUGAUUUUCAGCGUCGACCGUUAGUGUUUCGGCUCGUACUCGGCGUAGGAAUGUCGGAUUUCGACGGGACUUGGUUCUUUGGAUUCAGGACUUCGAGAGGAAUCCACGAAGCCCUUAUUUGCUGGAUUCGUUGAAGGUUAGCUGGGUCGAAAUUAUGUUCUCCUCUGCCGCUGUGUUUCGGACAGAAUUUGAGUUGGAGUUCUUCGUUGCGAUGUGUGCAGGGCGAUUUCGACCUUGAGCUGGACACCCUGGUUUUUUCAGUGGAUUUGGGAAUUUUUGGUGACCUCCUCGCUGCCGGGGUUUAGCGAUCGAGGUGGGUUACAUCGGUUUAUUCCUAAGUAUAUAUUAGUCGACAUGUAUGAUUUUCGGGUUUUUGGUAAAUCAUGUUGUAGCUCAGGUUGUUGAUCGUAUCAUGACUAAAAAAAUAAAUAAUCAGCAUUGAGAACAUGACUUGUAACCAUAGAUAUACAUGUUGGACUUGGAUUCGACUUAGGAGAAAAUGCGAUAACGAUCGGCAUAUGUUAAACUAUCUGAUUUAGCCCUAGGGGCUGUUGUAUGAUUUUAUACUGUUGCAGUAUUAUCAUAUUGAGAAUUCCAGUUAGUUUAGAUUUCAGUUACACUCGUGCGGGGAUGCCGAGUGAAUUUUUAAAAUAGCGUUUAGGCUGUUCCGGACUGUUGGGUGCCGUCGGGGUUGACGGUGGACCCGUAUCGCCUGUUUGGCGUCGGAUUGUGCCGAGGGCAUGUUACCUGUUGGUUGUUAGACCAAUUAGAGUCGGUUACUUGACUGUGGCUUGAGAUAGAGCCUGAUUGAGCUCGACAGAGAUACGCUGCAUACUCGGUUGGGUAGCUCCCACGAGUGCCAUUCCGGAGUCGGGCGCUGUGCUUUCGCGUUGGUGUCGCUCAUGCCGGUUGGACUUGCUCUCCAUGGACUAGUAGUGUGGAGGUAGCUGGAUAGUCACAACUGGGCAGGGACGGGUGUGUUCACAGUCCCAGGGACGGGUAGGCUUAGAGUCCUGAUUGGAUUGGGUCAGAUUUGAAAUUUCCUACAGUUGGUUAGUGUAGAGCAUGAUAGUGUAAUGAUUCAUAGCGGUAGAUUUUAUUCCUGCAUUUACUACUAUCUUUGCUCCUUCUAUAGACUUAGUGGGUGGACCGAUGUUGUUGAGGGCGGCAUCCACUGAGGACUACCUGUUUUUACAGUAGUUCUCACACCCUGUUGUUACCCCCUGUUUUUGCAGAGCCAUCGUCGUCGGCUGCUGCUGUCGUAGAUCAGGAUCGAGGCAAGGGCGUCGCGAGUUAGAGCCCUACCAGACGUGCCAAGCUAGAGGUGCCCCUACUGCAGGUAGAUGUUUUGUUUUGAGUUCAUGUACAUAGUAUCCUUAACUCGCCAGUGCGAGUAGCUCUGUAUUUUUGGUUAUUGGACUAUGUAUAUGGAACUCCGUUUGUUUAGCUUCUGUUUACUCUAGCAGCUCUAUACUACUGUUUGUAGUAUUGUACGGUUUACAGGUACAGCUGUCGCUUCGUAUACAGAGAAAAUUUCUUUGUAUAUGGCGGAUUUGUCGGCGUGCCCGGGGAACGUGUAAUUAAUCCGGGGCGUGACACGUAUGGAAAACAUUUUUUAAAAGAGUUUUUCUGGUUUUCGUGACUCUUAGUAUUUCAAAAUGAGUUUCCAGAUAGGAAACGUUUUAAACUAAUAGAUGUGAAAUUACUAUUUAUCUGUGAUGAAAUAAAGUGAAAAUUAUGAUGUGGUUUAUGUAGGUGGAUAUUCAUACAGUGGUGGUUGUAUAUUGUACUUGUGUGACGCCAUGCAAAUAUAGAGGAGACUCUGUCCGUGUGAAUAGUGGAUUCACUGUAUUUAUAGCGGAUCUGACAUACUCUGGGGUCAAGAUUUAAAAAAAAAAAAAAUUUGGGUCCUUCCGCAUUGCUUCUUAAAUCAAAAAGGGACCCCAGGGAAUGACAACUAUUUACUAUUAUACACCAAUACUAAACAUUAUCACACUAUAGCAAAAUAUAUUUUAGACAACACUUUUUAAACGACGCUCUAUUCUAGCGUCUUCAAUAUUUGGCAUGUGCCGACACUAUAAAUAAGCGUUGCCAAUAAACAUUUAUUUAUCAAAUACUGUACAAAUUUUCCGAUGCUGUGUUAAAGCGUCGGUAUAUUUAUUCCAACAUGUUUACUUAACAAGUCUUUGCUCGAUGUUUUAAGCGUUGGGUUUAUUCUUACCAAUGCUUUAAAACAUCGCUAGUUAUUGUUUAAAGUGUCCUUAAGUGCAAGAUUUGUUGUAGUGUUCACUCACGAUCAUUUGCUAGCAUUUCCAUCCUAACACUGCCAACUGCUAUGAUAACUCAACCUUUGUCAAUGACACACCAUAUGGUUAGUCAUAAUGAGAUUAUAAUGACUCAAUAAUCUUAAAAAGAAAACUCUCCUCUACAUGGUUAUAAUAGAUAAAAUUACACCAUUUUCUAGCUACCCAACUAUUGCAUUAAUAUUACAUUACCUUCCAUAUUAAUGUUUAAUUUUCAAUAGAAAAAUAUAUUACUUGGUAAUUAUAGAAAGAUUCUUCAAAAUUCACAAAAUGUAAUGCAACAAAGCGCCAUAAAAGAUAAAAAAGCAUCUAAUUAAGAAUGAACAAGUAUGAAUACUUUCUAGAGAUUUUGAUAUUUGAAACUCUAAUAAAGAGCACUUCAAAGCCAAAAAAGAGUAUUUGUGACAUUGAUUGUCUGUUUAUUGAUUAUAGAGUUUAAAACAUUUUUUUUCUCUUAAAGUGUUAUUGGAUUACAAAAAAAUGCAAAUUGAAAGUACUAUAGCAAGUACUAUAGCUGAAGUAGAAGAGAAAAGCCACACAGAUUAAGAUAUAUAAGACCACAUGUAAAGAUCACAUAGAUUUAAAUAAAAUUUUUAUUAACCUUUUUUUUUUCAACAUCAUGCCUUGGACCUAUUAAUAAUAAAAAAGCCCUAAUUCCAAUACUAAUUAAAUCCCAAGAUUUUAUGGAUUUUUCCAAUACAAAUAAAUCUAAUCCUAAUUAAAACUCCCAAAUUUAUAUCCCUAAUUUUUAGAAAUUUAUUCCAAAUAAAAAUCCUAAAAAUCUGAUAAAAACCAUUUAAAAUAAAAUUUUUCAAAUUAUAAAAUAUUGCUUUUAAUUUUCAGUUCUUUUUAACUACAUCAUUCACUUUCGCUGUGCGAGGACUCGUCCUCGGGUACUAUGAUUUGGUGUAGUUGGCUUCGAACCAGGAUAUGAAUACAAAAUCUCAUCUUCAUUGAACUCGAUAUUUUAAGCAAGAUGGACAUGUUUUUUUGAGAGAAAGGUAGCACGCUAUCUGCUUCAUUUAUUAAGUAGGUGAAAUCAGCUACAUAGAGUGAGACAGCUUGGGCCUCGAGGGGACACUUAGACAAUUAACAGACAAUAACGAAAGGAAGAGCCCGAUAAAAAAACAAGAACAAGCAGCAAAACGAAGGGUGUAACAGACACCAACAUCACCCCGUUCGACAAAAAUCAGUCCACUCCAACGCUAAUACUUUGAUACCGUGAGCAGUAGAGAGCAUUCAUUGGAAGGUUCCGAAAGAUAAUAUUGUUUCUUGCACGCCAGAUCGACCACCACGUGGCUGCCACAAAUGUCAGAGCCUUCGUAGAGUCGCCCAGUGACCUUUUUCUGCCAGCUCCUCCCAGAUGAAAAUGACAUCCUCGAAGGAGGUGGAAACGUGAGGGUCGUCAAGGAGUGGAAUAAAAAGAUACUUGGUAACGACACAUUCCACCAAUAAAUGGUCUACUGUUUCCAGCUUGUCGGCACAUAAGACACACAUGGUAUUUCCUGACCAUCCUCUUUUGAGCAGAUUGUCCACUGUAGGCAGUUUCUUUUCCAGGGCUAGCAAGAUGGACAUGUUGAUUCAACUUCUCUGAUGGCAUUGAAUGCAACACGAUUUUCUUAUCGUGAUGUCGGAAGAGGUGUUGCUUGGACCUUCCAAUCUUCAACCUAACACUCUAGCUUUCGAUUUGAGCUUGGAUUAAAGUUAGUAUCCUUAUCUAGACUCUCUAAUUAGUGAAAUUAAGAGUAAAAUUGUGCUAUUUCUAGUUUUGGAAAGGCAGGGUAUAAAUUGGGGAUUUUUGAAUGAAGGGUUUUGGGAUGGAAUUGAUGGGUUCAGGAUACUCGUAUAUGUUGGAAUUAAAGUCCUACCACCUUAAUUUGGUAGAUUUGAAAGGAUUUUUAAAGAAGAGGGAAUAACUUGAUUUGAGGAAAUGAUUGAGUUUCGUUGACUAUUCGGUGAGUUCAGUCUUACUGAAAUUGGUGGACUAUCUCUAUGUCUUCUACUUCUUUGUGAAUUUCAAAUUCUUGUUUUAACAUGCUAAUUAGAAUAUUUAUAGAUGGUUUAGCAUUUGAUGUCAUCACUCUAUGCAUGUUGAUUCAUUACUCCACAAUCGAUGCCAUAUGCAAUAUAAUGCACGCACUUCAUUGUAUAUGAGCUUCAUUGAUAGUAUAGCCAUUCAUUUAGGUGAAACAUGAGUAAUUAAUCUUAUAUAGAUGUUGAAGUUAAAUUGAGAUGCAUGUUUUUUCUCAUAAUAGAUACAUGAUAGCUGUACUUAUUGUCGUAUCUCCUUGUAAGCAAGUUGAGACAUGAAAUAGUAAAGUGAAACAAUUAUAUGACCAAAGGGUCAAGUAUUGAGGUCAUAUGGCCAUUAGACAUGAUGCAUGGACUAAAGCUUGUAAGAGCAAACUAUGCUCACUCGCAUAUACUUGAGAGGGUCGCUCCCUUUAAGCCAAGGUUUUCCGGAGGUAGUGCCAUCGCGCCAUCAGCUUGCCCGUGCCUGUUUGAGCGCUGAGUUGGAUGUUGUGGGGGAGGCAAGGCUCCGUAUGUGGGGUGCUUACUAUAGGACCAUGGGACACAACGUAGGCUAAGGAGCUUACUUUAUAUAAGUUCUCAAGAGAGAUUGGGUAAAACUUGGUAAAUUGAACAUCACUAAUAGUUGGUGCAUAGUACUCAUAAUAGUGUACUUCUAUUACUCGAAGGCAUGGUAGUAGCGUUUAUUUAUUGCUUUUUCAUUUCAGCUAUUUACUUUCCUAUAUAUAUAUAUUAUAUUAUUUAUGUCUCAGUUGACCUAGUGGAGUAGUACAUCCAUUUCGGCGGCGAUACCCACUAAGAACUAUAUUUCAUAAUGCUCACUCCCAUUAGUUGUUGUUUUUAUUUUCAAAGCCCUCCAGCACGAGAGAGGCCUAGGAUCACGACAAAUGUGUUGCCACUCGCUAAAGCCCUCCUGCCGUGGAUAUAGAGGUGGAUCCAUUAUACCUUUCAUUUUGGAGAGUAUAUGUGAGAGGUAGCUAAUGACAUAUUCUAGAUAGACGAUUGUGUAUAUUGGAUGCCUCUUUACAUAGUAGAGAUGUGUCUAUCUGGGGAGUCGCACUCUAUAGGAAAUGAUAUAGUAGGAAUUUAUUUCACAUUGGAGUUAUGAGAUUUUUAGAUCCAUGUAUCUAUGUAUUAGUUGUAUAUAAGUAUUUAAACUAGUUUUAAUUUAUGUCGACAUAUGUUCUGAUUAUCCAUAUUUAGGAUAUAUACAUCAUAUAUUGGUAGAUGUUAUUGAUUGAUUCUAGAGUACACUUUAUAUAUACCCCGGGGUGGCCUCCUGUAAAUGGUGGUUUUUGCAUGUGCCCAGGUAGGCUUCUGCUGGGACCCUAGGGCAUGAUUAUAUUUGUUUCUUUUAAUAUCAUUUGUCUCGUGAUCUAAUUGAAUCAAAAUAGCUGAAAAAGCAAAUAGUGGAAAUUGAAUAAACUUAUAAAAUCAUGAACAUAGUUCUGAAAAUUAAACUUUAGAUUGUCGAUCUUAAUCUAAAUAGUAAGUGGAAUGUACUGGUGAAGUUUAUCAAAUUUUAAAUAUUCUAUUAGAAAAUGAAUGAUCUUCUCAUAUCAAUCAUUAAAAAUGGUUGAUUUGAAACAUCUAAUAACUUGAUAAAUGAUGGAGACAAAUUAAAAAAUUUGUUCAAAUGCUCUUGAUUAUAUUCAGUAGCUUCCAUCGCUAAUUUUAAUUACUUAUCAUAAGAAGCAGAGUCCAAUCACUACCAAAUAGUAAAUCAUAGUGAUCCAAGGGUCAAAAUGUUCAAAAAUGUAAUAAAAAAACUCAAAAGAACAUUCAAAACCUUAAAAGCUAGGGAAAAUCAACCAAAAACAAUAAAAAAUUCUUAAUUAUAAAUCAAUGGACCUGUAGUUGGAUGUUGUGAAAUUUGGUUUCGUAGCGACCGAGACGUGACAUAUGCGGAGGGCCACCAAUCUCCCGCCACAGGACUUUAUGCACCAUGUUUUUAUAUGCCAUGUCUCUAUGCCGCUGUCUUAGUGUAGCUCUCACCCCGAGUCCUGUUCUUCUAGAUUUACUCUUGGUUGUUACACCUGGCAAAAUUCACUAUAUACUUACUAGAUCUACUCUUAGUUAUUAUUGGCACUAAUUCGUCCUCCUCUCCGUCUCUUUUUAUCUCUCUCAAACCCUAAAGUCUCUUCUUCUCUUUCUCUCUCUCUCUCUCUCUCUCUCUCUCUCUCUCUCUCUCUCUAGGCUUUGUUUUCUCUGUGGGUAUUUGUGUUUGAAACUCAAAUGGAGACCAAGUAUUUGAAGAGAAAAUUGGUAAGAAGUGAGUAAUAAAUGUAGUAUAUAUACACGCAUCAUACGGGGUGAUGCCAAAUGUUAGUCCGAGGAUGCCCAAUUCUUUUCCUUUUCUUGUUCUCUCUCUCUCUCUCUCUCUCUCUCUCUCUCUCUCUCUCUCUCUCUUUUGAAUGGACACUUAUACUAUAAUACAAAUAUUAAUACGAGUGUCGUUAAAAUUUUGAUAUUAGAUACAUGAGUUUAUUCCAAAUAUUUAGCAUAUCAAUUGCUUUUCGUCUUUAUUUGCUCAUUUAUGGUUCCGUAUUAGCACCAUAGUGGCUCAGACUUUCUAGUAUAUCAUCAAAACAUAAUUGGUUGUAUCUAACACUAUCCCCAAUCGAUUUCCACCAUUAUAUGGAAAGUUGAUGCAAGAAAAUACUUCAGAGAGAUGUCUCUGGCGAGUGCAUCUUCUUAAAUAUUUAUAUUUCUAUGAUGCAUGUACGGAGUAAAUAGUUAGUAUCAUACGUACAUUAAUUGGGUUUCCUUUUCAUAUUAAUUGCUGAUGCAAAAUUACAAUUGUUGGGAGCUGCAGGGUUUCCCAGUUGGAUUUUCCGCUGGGAUUUGAACUCUUCAAAUUGAUUUGGUUGGCUUUUCACCUGAAACUCAACCCGUAAAUUUUAAAUAUAGAUUUAAAAUUUAAAAUUUAAAUUUUACAUUUUAAAUUUUAAAUUUUAAAUAUUAAAUUUAAAAAUUCAAAAAUCUAAAUUUAAUAUUAUAUUAAUUUUUAAAAUAAAUAUUUCAAAAUUUUAAAAUUCAAAUUUUAAAAUUUUAAAUUUAUUUUCAAAUUUUAAGUUUUAAAUUUUUGAUAUUCAAUUUUAAAAUCUAAAUUUUAAAUUUUAAAUUUUUAAAUUUUAAAUUUUAAAUUUAUAUUUUAAAUUUGAAAUUGAAAAGUUAAAUUUAGAUUUAAAAAUUCUAAUUUUGAAUUGUAAAUUUUAAAUUAAAAAAAUUUUAAAUUUUGAAUUUUAAAUUUAGAUUUUAAAUUUGAAAUUGAAAAGUUAAUUUUAGAUUUAAAAUUCUAAUUUUGAAUUGUAGAUUUUAAAUUUUUAAAUUUCAAAUUUAGACUUUAAAUUAAAAUAUCAAAUUUUAAAUUUUUGUGCAAAUUUUAAUUUUAAAUUUUUAAAUUCAAAUUUUAAAAUAUUUUAAUAUAAAAUUAGGAAAAUAAUUAUUAUUUAUAAACAUCAAAAAGAUUGUCCACAUAGUUUUAGAAAAUUAAUUCAGAAAAAUCACAUUUUAUAUAAACUCAGCCAAAUGAAAAAUACUAUACAGUUUUUAAUUAAAAUCAAAUAUAUAAAAAUUAUUUUUACAGAAUUUAGACCAGGUCCUAUGUCAACUUAUUGAAUAUAGGUGUCAUUGAUUAUUUCAAUCAUUUACAAGCAUAUUUUUGGAAGUUUUGAUAUUGUAAACUUUUCCAUCACUACUACUUGCAUGUAAUGAAGACAUAAAUUACUCUGCCACGUCAGCAUCUCCCUUUGGAAACAACGAAAUAAAUGUCAUGCGGAGCACGUUUCUCUUCAUGCCGUGUCACUAAAACUGUGACGGAAGAGAGACAAGUGACAGCUAAUAAAUAGAAAAAGAAAUGGAAACGAAGAAUCGAUAGCUAUAAUGCACUGCUGGAAAUGUUUUUUUGAAGCGUAGUAGCAUUUAUAGGAAAGAUAUCUUUGAAGCACACGUACACCGUGCCUCUGUGUCAGGCUGGCAAAUGAGCGAGCUGGCUCGCAUUCAGCUUGACUCAAAAUUAAAUAAGUAAAUCGGGUAGCGUGCUGCUACCUAUCUCUCUCUAAAAAAAAAAAAAAAAAAAAAUUAUUUCAUGUCGAGCUUGAGUAUUACUCGUCUCGCUUGAAUUAGGCUCGAAACACUCGAAUAUAUAUGGAAAUUCAAGGGAAAUAGAAAUUAGUCCUUUUGUUCUCAAAGAAAAAAGAUUAGGUGUUUCUUAUCUAUUUAUAAUCACGCCCGUUGUUAUUCAGUUAUUCUCAUGAUCGGUCACAUCCCUGAUUUCGCGGGACACUAUUAGCCGAUCUUAACUGCGUAAGCUUUAGCUGCUUUUCAAUUUUCAGUGCGUUCGUCGCUGCUCCUGACGCACCAUCUGUCGUAUAUCCCUAGCUUCAAGGGUCAAGUUUGCGAUGCAUCUCGACUCACCACAUGCAUGACGUAAUUUUUAUGGCGCCAAUAAUUGCCCCGGCCCCUGGCAACUCCCGAACGAUCGUUCGGUGGCUGACGUAAUCUCCUUCAAAGGCUCGGAUUUCAAGACCAUCAUUUCAAAUCGCCUCGUACCGUCUAUUCCUCCAAGUCGUCCUUUCACUUAUGGACGGCCACUAUCUCCUACGUACGUUCUUUUUGUCUCUUCUGAUGCAUUAAUUAGGUCAUUUAUAGCCGCCAUCUUUUCACCAUUAAGGCUCUUUUUUUGGAAUUCCCUCUUAUGGCUUUGCUACUUUUGCUCUCCGUCUUCCUCUCGUCUUUUUUCUUUCUUCUCCAUCUGAGGUUUCCUCUUCUUGAACUCUUAAUCUUUUCAUUUUCUCCUUAUCCUCCUAGCUUUCUCGCUAUGGCUUCGAUUCCUUCUUUUCUUUUAUCUCCUUCUCUUGAUUAUACUCUACUUCGACAAUAUGUCGAAUCGGACCAUUCUUAACUUGUACUUGGUCCUUUGUUUACAGAUUUUCCUAUCCCUGAGAAUCUCCCUUUCUCCACUGAUAGUUUUUAUUUGAUGGCUGAAACCAUUCAUCUGCAAUCUUAGUAUGCCUCAAAAUCGUCGAAAAAAAUCCUCCAAACUUAGCGUUGCAUUUCAGACGCUUACUUUUGGAUCGAGUCGAAGUAUCUUAUGCUGACCUCUGACGUGAAGUUAGAAUUUAUUAAGCCAUCCAACUUUCAAGAGUUCCUCCUUAAGCCGAUAAUCUCCUUCUUACUGCGGCUUUAUGUUUUUGGUCUCCUAUUUCCAACGCUUUUCUUUUUAGGUUGGGACCCAUUACACCAACUCUUCUUGAUGUGGCGGCGAUAGUUGGUCUCUGCCCUCACACCGUCACUCUUUCGAUGGCCUAUAAUCCUGAUGGAGUAGAUAAUUUUGAGAUCUAUCUUGACCCAAAGGAGGACCUUGCCUACACCAAAUUUAUCCGUUGGUUCGCAGGUUAGUCCCCUGCUUUGGUUACUAAGAAAAAGCACACUGCCUUGCUCCUUUAUCGGCUUUGUCAUAAUCUUUUCUGCAUCCGCUUGUAGAAGGUUAACCGUGAUUUCGUUCCGAUCAAGGUUGCCUUGGCUAACGGCUAGAAAUUAGCAUUAGGUGUAUAUUUUCUCGCUUUUUUAUACCAAAAAUUUUUUGAAUCCAUCAAACCAUUGCCGCCUAGGAAUGUCUUGGUAAUCGGCUCCGAUUGUGGUGUUUUAUGGUUUCUACACAUGUGCUUAUAGAUUUAUUUUUCUUACCUAUGCUGAACUCCUCUAGAUUUAGAUUCGGAUCCUCACUUUGAUACCUAUGGUUUGACUUUCGGCUGUCCAGAGCAUUUGAUUUCAGGCCAACCAAAAGAUUUUACCACAUAUUUUAAAAUUUUUUAUGAAAAAGAAUAACGCCUCAUCAUCAAGUUGGCACCUUUUUUAUCCUUCGACUCUUAAAGAAUGAACCAUAAUUUUGGUAGGUACUAUAGCUUCGUGAACAUAAACCAGCCGAAAUAGUGUAACCCAUGUCGCUGUUUUGACAGUGGUUCGGCACACCCUAAUACUUCUGAGAGCUUUUCGCUCCACUUAAUAUGCUGUUAUAUAAGAUAUAUAAUAACUUUGUUUACCACCACAACCUGCCCAUUGGUCUGAGCAUAAUAAGACGAUGAAUGAAGCAGCUUAACUUUUCUCAACUCUAUAAAUCGUGAGAAUUGUUCUUCUAUAAAUAUCAUUUCUUGGUCGGUUGUAAUUGUUUCGGGAAUCUCGUAACACGCCCCGGGACCAAUUUUAAAAUCCUUUUUGUAACGAAUACGGAUUUAGAAACAAGAGUUGCGGAAAACAUACCUUUUGUUUUUUAAUUCAACCUAGCCCACGUGACGUACAGACCCGCCACAAAUAUAAAGUUUCUCUGUCCACUUGGACAGAGUCUUCUUUGUAUUUGCACGUCGUACCAACAACAACAUCAGGAUCACAACAACAACCUACAUUUAUCAAUCCACAAACAGUUCAUGCGAUGCCUUUCCAUACAGCUAGCGAUCCUUAGAGAUUAUGCAUGCUGGCCUUUAAAUACUUCUUAGGCGCUGGAUGAUGCGAUGCACAAUACAAUAGUCAUCCUAUUAAAAAUGCUCCCCACCCGGAAGCUUUAUUUUUAAACUCUAUCCAAUCAUUGAUAAAAACGAUUCGAAAAUCUUUUUAAAACUAUUUCCCACUCGAAAACUCCAUUUUGAAACCGACUACCUUGAGGGGUAGAAAAUCACAAAGUAUAAAUACAUAAUUCCAAAACCGAAGAUCCAAAAACUCCAAUUGCAAGUAUCAUAGUAAAUCAUCAACUCAAACCAAUUCACAAAUAUCCAAACAUUCAUAGUGAACAUCUAACUGAACCAUUUAAUUAUUAAUUUACUAAAUGCAGAAAUAAAAUAUCACCAGGGUGACGGUCGCUACUGCAGUCUAGCUAGUACGUCCUCCCAUUGCGCCAAAUGCCAACUCCUUGCUUGAGCCACCUUGGAAAAUAGGGGGUGAGAAACCACAAUCAAGGUUUCCCAGUGGGUACGACAGAGCCAUGAAGGCAAAUCGUAUUCACUGGAAAACAAAGAAGAUAGAACAAUAGAUAUGUACAUAGUAUGAUAUGAGAUCAACUACAGUAGUACUAGAAAUAUGAUAGUAAAUGAGUAAGAACCAACUACUACUGUAUCAACAACUCAACCGAACAGAUGCCUCAAGGGUACAUAGUCCAAAAUCAAAACCAAUCUAGUGCCUUCCAUAUUGGUCGGCAGACCUCAAGCGUUGCCUGUCACAGAGCAUACACUGACAUUGAUUUAUGCGUCCACCAGCGACCAAUCCGGAUACGUACACCCCAUGGUUGGUGGCCAAACCAACCAGUGUCUAGAAAACACAGUGCUGUGACUAAAUCAUGCUAAUAUGCUCAAUACGAAAAUAGGUGAAAAACUGGUGCCUUGGCCGAAGCCAGAUGCAAGGGUGUACAACGCCGAAUCACGAUCAACUAGAUUGAAACACAUGACGAAGGAGUCGAUAUGUUGCCUGGACCCAAGGUCCACAGAUAUACAAUAAAUGCAAGUCUGCUCUGCAUGUCUACUAUCAACUAUCAUCAUGCAAGUAACAAGUAUAGAUGAACGAGCGAUAAACAAAAGCAACUGACAUGUAGAGACCAAAGUACUGAUAUACAAGAGCAAGAAAAAAGAAAGCGAAACGAUCUCACCGACUACCAGCUAGAAGCACUCACCUGCCACAAUCACGCCGGAAAUCUGGGUGCGCAAGGAGUCUACCAGACCUAAGAAGAUCCACCGAGUCAGUAACUAACCCACCAAUCCAAAAUACAUGACUCACAAACCCAACAAAAGUCCCCGAAAAUCGGUUUCCCAAAACCGAUCACUAUAACUUGCCGGCAGUCCCGAAAAUCACACCGGGACGCCGUCGGGACCCACUAAGUGUCCCGAAACUCACCGACUCGUGCCACGAGUCAUCCGCUGCCACAAAACACAUCGAUUUGGACGUCUUGGCAGCAAACACAAGAUUACACAACCAAACAAUUAUCGUCGGAUAAUUGUUCGGAUCCGGGUUCCCGAAGUGUCAAUUUUGACACCGGAACCCACCGUCGCUCACUCGUCAUCUCCGAACCAACGAUAUGACGAUGGUGACUAGCCGACAAGGCUCAGCGACAACUCCCAAGGCAAAAAAGCACCAUUGGAUGAAAUCUGAACUGAAACUGCGUUCCGUCGGCGAAUUUCACCGAAAAACGUACUGAACUUGACCUCCGAUUUCCACGAAGGCUAUCGGACCAUGGACGAUCAGUCUAGAGGUCACCUACCGCUCGUACGUACUGUACACAGUAGCCACAAGAUGCACAAUUGCAUAAAAGUCCCUAUAUUUACAUAAAAUUAAUUAUUUUAUGUAAAUAAAGUGAUUUUGUGGCUCGAUUACGUAAACCGAGAAUCUUCGAGGUCUGCCGAGACACGCACUGAUAGGUCUCGACAUGUCGGAGGCCGUGCUCACGAUCUGAAGCACAACGGCUCAUUGUGGGAGGCGCGGGAGCGACCAAAACAUUCAGCGAAAAGCGCGCACUCGUGAAAAACCGCGCCGAAAAUGCAGAUUCAGCAACCGCUGAUCCUAAGUGAGGUGAGCAUUGUGAUCAGCACUGAACAGUGACCACCAUGCUCACCUCCAGAGGCAUCGGGAUAGCCUCGGAUCGCCGAAAAAAUAUGCGCAAACCAAAACAGCAAGCAAAAUACCCUAGACUGUGCUUAUCGGAGUAGUGGGAGCUAGGGCACGGCUUGCUGCUGCUCUGCGGCGUGCGCGCCGGCGGCCGACAGGUGCGGCUGUCGUGGGAAGGCCGGGGCUCGCGCCGGCCGGCGACGGCGACGGCGGAGCAAGCUGAGCCCGCACAAGCUGAGCUCGGGCUCGGAGUACUACGCCGGCCUCGGCGGCGGUCGGGGCACCUCGGGGCGGCAGCGAGGGUUGCCGAGGCUCCGAGGGAGGUGGUAGGAGUGGUCUCAGUCGGCGGCGGUUUGUGGGCCAACAGUUGAAGCUCAGCUCAGCCUGAUCCCGCCUAGGGAGCCCGCAUGGGGGCUGUAACGUGGCGGCGGCGCUCGUGGCGGCUGCGGCCAACGNGCUGCCAACAGCAACCACGAAACAUACUAUUGCAUAAAAGUCCCUGUGACACAACAUGAAAUCACAUCAUUUUAUGUGAUUUUCGGGGUUUUACGGUCCGACAGCGCAAACCGAGAACUAUCUAGCCUGGUUGAGACACACUCUAACAGGUCUCGAUGUGCCAGAGGCCGUGCUCACACUUUGGAGCACGGCCGGCCACUAUGACAAGCGCAGAAGCGACGCGAAGUUCAGAGAAAUAGCGCGCACAGUGCCUAAAUCGCUCUUAGCACGCAAAUCGGGGCUAUACUGUCCCCAACGAAGGUAAGCAUGAUGUUCAGCACAGAUCGGGGAUCAUCGUGCUCACUUCCAGGAGUGUCGGGGUGUCCUAGGAUUGCCAGAACAACGAUCCGAACCGGAGACUUUGCACAAAACAGUGAAAUAGAACUCACCGUACCAUGGGGAGCUCAGGCACGGCUGGCGGCGGCCGGGAGGCAGGCAGGUGCGGGCGAUGGAGGGAGGCCGGGGAGCGCGUCAGCCGGCAACGGAAGGCGGCGGUUGCAACGAUGGUUCAUUGGAGGCCGGAGGGAGACGGCGAGAGCGUCCUCAGGCGGCGGCGGNGGUGCGAGGGGAGGGAGCUGAAGCUCCCUUAACCUGUGCUGGCCCUAGAUAGCCGCCCCUCGGCUGUAGCGCGGUGGCGGCGCGGCGGCGGCACUCGGCUAUGGCGGCAGGCGGCGGGGAGGCUCCGACGAGGUGGGGGCGAUGCCGGCGUAGAGCGAGGAGGCAAUGUAGCCUCAGGCCUUCUCUCAACCCGAGAGAGAGAGAGAGAGAGAGAGAGAGAGAGAGAAUGAGAGAGAGAGAGAAGAAGGUGGUUGCGGCUGCGGUUGCUGGUCGGGGCUAGGUCGGCGGCGGCUGGGGGCGCACGGCGCAGAAGGUAAGGGGAGGAGAAGCGGCUGGGAUCAGCUGAUCUGGUCUAGGGUUAGGGUUUGCACCAUGCAAACCCUAAGGUAGCUAUAUACAUAAGGUGCAAAAUAACAAGCUAGUCCAUCGUAACCGAGUAUUUAACACUAAUUCUCACACAGCGCGUGUAAAACGCGCGAAUACACCCCCACAUUCGAUUUCAUGCAAAACGGUACAUAAAAUGUCGAGCUUUUCGCAAAAUUACCAUUUUGCCAAUAGUGACCCCUCCUCGAUCAACGUGCGAUAUCAUGAGAUUCGUUCGUCAGAUUUGCGAACGGAUCACACCAGUGCAAUCAGCAUGACAGAGACAUCAAACUCUCACUUUCGUUUUGCCUGGUUUGGUUGCGGAUUCGUGACAAAACCCAUCCUCUCUCAAAAAGGCAAACCUACACACAAAUACAUACAAUACAUGUAUCUCCAGUUUUCUCGAAAUCCGUGCGUCAAACCUGAAAUUCAUCAGCGUCAACGGUUCCAAGAUAGUCGAACAAUUGAAAACGAGCUAUUGGAUCACUAUGAACGGAGUAUGAUACGCGUCAGAAGCCAACUCUACUCAUUGGCCUCUCCGAAAAAUCGAGUUACUAUCACAUUAAGUGAAAACUGAAGAUCGUGUACAAUCUCCAUUCUAACUCAUUUUCUCCUGAAACUUGACGAGUGCUUUUGUAAUUAAAAUACACACAAAACCAUCGUCAACAGAGAGUUUAGCUACACUGCCAAAAUCUCAGUCCUUACAUCAAACCCCCCUUAAGGAAGUUUCGUCCCCGAAACUUGCUCACACACCACCGAAAAUAAUUUCGGAUAACAGUCCAUUAACGCACCAAGCACAACUAUUACGCCAUGGCAGGAAGGCCCCUAAACUUGAGCACCAACACUCACCUCGGAGGCUACAAUCUCCCACCAGUCCGAACUAUAACCAGACAAAGCCAAACCUUAACCAUCGGAACCCACUGAUGGAAUUCGACUCUCUUAGGUCCAAGACCUAACCUUCCGCCUAGACCAAAAGGUCUAAGGCUACUGCUAACAGUUGAGCCCGACAAUUUAGCCUGCUCAACACUCAUUCUGGUACAAACAGAUCAACAUAAGACCAAUGCAUGUCCGUCACUCGGUGAACAAAGUUGCCACUCACAAUAUACGAUCAUAACCACCAGUGAGGCCCAACAUCUGUCUCUACGAGACCCUGUUGCUGCCAUCCCCAAGGGACCCUAGCGAUCAAUGUUUCUAGCAACACUAAAUGCCAGUCUCAUUGAGACUCCAAAAUGCCGCGCACCAAGUGACCGAACAGCAAUCCAAUCCAAUCCAAGGUAUCGACAAUAAAUUAAAACAUAUACCUUGUACAAUAUCACAAGUUGCGACUUCUGAGCCAACCACCGGCUCACUAGAUGAUCAAAGAUGAUCGUCACCUCUCUUGCAAGAAAAAAAAUACAAUUUUGAAAAAUACCGAUCCAAUCCAGAUAUUCCCCAAAAGGGUAGGGUAUCUUGUCCUAACUUUCAACACUACGUUGUCUGCAACCAAUGUACUUAUCGAAAGAAAGGUAAAAUACCCGCAGAUCUAUCGCCAACAGAAAGUUGGAGACGUGACACAAAACUAAGCCGACCAAUAACCCUAUAAUGCACUAGAAUGCAUGAAUAGAGAACUGACGUCACGACUGUACAUUAGCUAGAUCCGACAUACACCACACUGACAAAGAACUGACAAAAGGUCGAAACAUCCGCCUUUAAAUUUCCACCAGCAAAACCAUUCGACAUAACUCAAAAGAGUGAACCCUGUGUGCCUGCGGAUUGACCUGCAAAAGCUUCCAUGUCCCGUGCUGGAGGUGAGGCGAUCAUAGUAGCAAAAGCAGUCUGUCGACUUCUUACUGCUCAGAGUUAGUCCACUCUUAACACCAAAACGAGUACAUGUCAUAUCCUGUAGUACAAAAAAAUACGAGGUAAUAAACACAAAUCAACCUUUGAGCAUCCUAGCUCGAUAAUCUCGAGACUAAAUCUCGAAUACCCCGCACUCGCACGUGCCUACACGCCUUAGGUCUUUCUAUAGGUCAACCUAACCAAUGGUUCAGUUAGAAAACUUGUAAAUGCAGUUGUAGUUGUUUCACGCUCUGAUACCAUCUUAAUCUGUCACGGCCCGGGGCCAAUUUUAAAAGCUUUUUUGUAACAAAUACAAAUUUAGAAACCAGAGUUGCAAAAAUCGUGCCAUUUUUUUUUAAUUCAAUCUGGCCCACGUGAUGUACAGACCCACCACAAAUACAAAGUUUCUCUGUCCACUCGGACAGAGUCUCCUUUGUAUUUGCACGGCGUACCAACAACAACAUCAAGAUCACAACAACAACCUACAUUUACGAAUCCACAAAUAGUUCAUGCGAUGCCUUUCUAUACAGCUAGCAAUCCUUAGAGAUGAUGCAUGCCUCUAAACACUCCUUAGGCACUGGAUGAUACGAUGCACAAUACAACAGUCAUCCAAUUAAAAGUGUUUCCUACCCGGAAUCUUUGUUUUUAAACUCUAUCCAAUCAUUAAUAAAAAUCAUUCGAAAACUUUUUUAAAACUGUUUCCUACUCGGAAACUCCAUUUUGAAACCGACUACCUCGAGGGAUAGAAAGCCACAACGUAUAAAUACAUAAUUCCAAAAUUAAAGAUCCAUAAACUCCAAUUGCAAGUAUUAUAGUAAAUCAUCAACUCAAACCAAUUCACAAAUAUCCAAACAUUCAUAGUGCUCAUUUAACUGAACUAUUUAAUUAUUAAUUUACUAAAUGCAGAAAUAAAACAUAAUCAGGGUGACGGUCGCUACUGCAUCCUAGCUAGUUCGUCCUCCCAUCGUGCCAAAUGCCAACUCUUUGCAUGAGCCACCUGCAGAAAUAGGGAGUGAGAAACCAUAAUCAAUGUUUCCCAAUAGAUACGACAGAGCUACGAAGGCAAAUCGUAUUCAAUGAAAAACAAAUGAGAUAGAACAAUAGAUAUGUACAUGGUAUGAUAUGAGAUCAACUACAAUAGUACUAGAAACAUGAUAGUAAAUGAGCAAGAACCAACUACUAUUGUAUCAACAACUCAACUGAAUAGGUGCCUCAAGGGUACAUAGUCCAAAAUCAAACCCAAUCUGGUGCCUACCAUAUUGGUCGGCGGGGACAUAUAGUAUACUUGGUCGCUAUGAUAGUGCAUACUAGAUAUGUAUUGGACACUUGGACAUAUUGUAUACUUGAUAGUAUUGCUUAUUGCAUUUUAGUAUACUUGGGUGCCGUGUUCGAGCAUACUAGACAUGUUUUGGCAUAUUGGAUCAUGAUAGAGUAGAUGUACUCCAUGUUCAUAUCAUGUAUACUUGUGGCAUAGUAGUAUAGCAUUUAUUAUAUGCUUUCUUUUCCGCAGUUACUUGUUAUUAUCCUUAUCUGCUUAUGUUUUGGUCCUAGUGGUGCAUUUUGCGUAGGUCAGUAAUUGCCCACUGGAAACUAUAAAUUAUAGUUCUCACGCCUUCUGUUUUAUAUUUUCUUUCAGAGCCUUCCACUCCGGGAGAGGCUCGGGACCGUGGGAAAGGAUUCGCAUCGUGCUAGCUAGCGAGGGAUUAGAAGAUAGGUGGUCUACCUCUCUGUUGGUUGUAUUUUUUUUUGGAGAGGUUGAGAGACUUGUAUCAUUUUGUAGAGACCAUCUUGUUUUGUAUCUUGAGCUUUGUGUAGACUCAUGGAUGUUUUACCUUACUUUUAUUUAGUGGGUUCGUUUCCUUCGACUCUUCUGCUGUUAGACUUUAGUAUUUACUUGCUCUGAUAUCUCUAGAUACUUGUAUCGCAGGUUUAUUCAUUGCUUUUGUAUAGACGUUUUAUAUGUGCAGAAAUAUGGCAGGUCUGGGCACGCACCGGGCGGACCUAUGCCAGGCCCGGGGUGUGACAGUACCGGUACUCAAUACCAAAAAACCAGAAUUCGAGGUUUCAAUGUUAUUUCACUCCUCCGGCCACUUAAACGCUCAAGUGACAUGCCAAUAAACUCUCGACAAUCCCUCACAAGAUUUAGAAUAGUUUCACUUACUAUUCUAACACUAGAACUUCGCAAUUUGCUAAAGUUCAGUGUACUACACUCUCCCCUCCUAAAAAAGAGUUUCGUUCGCGAAACGAAGAAAUAAAUGCCUCAAAUUUCCAUGGAAAAAAGGAAGGGAUAGUGCUCCUGCAAUGUACUUUCCAGCUCCCAAGUAGCUUCGCGUUGGUCGUGAUUGCUCCAAAGCACUUUAACAUAGGGUAUCUCGCGAUUUCGAAGCUUUUUCACCUCACGAGCUAAAAUUUUCAUUGGUUGCUCUUCAAAGCUCAAAUCUUCUCAUAGCCCUAUCGAAGUAAUCUCCAAGAUGUGAGUCGGAUCAAAAAUGUAUUUCCGAAGUGCGGACACAUGGAAUAUAUUGUGCACCCCCGAUAGGUUCAGCGGCAAAGCUAGCCGAUAGGCUGCCGGGCCUAUACACUCCAACACUUCAUAAGGUCCAAUAAAUCGAGGACUCAGCUCCUCUCGAAUACCAAAUCUCGUGACUCUCUUUGUCGGCGAGACUUUUGAAAACACAUGGUCUCCAACUUGGAAUUCCAAUUCUCGUCGACGUUUAUCUGCAUAACUCUUUUGUCGACUUUGUGCUGUCACCAAACGUUCUCGUGCAAGUCGAACUUUGGAUUCAGCCUCCUGCAACACAUCUGGACCCAGAACUAGCUCUCACCUACUUCACUCCAGUGAAGUGGUGAUGUCAUAGCCCGCGACCACCCGCCUAUUUUGCAGAGGUCGCAGCGCCGCCAGCGCCAAAAGGACAGGGUUUCCCCUGUACUGCGGACAGAGUUUCCCCUGUACGUUCAAGGCAUCGCAAUCAAUACAAUACGAAAGUUCCAACCAGGAACUGAUAUCAAUCAAGAUUGCAUAUGGAAGGUAUCAACAACAUAACACAUCCUAUAUUAUUACAACAUUCUCAUUCAGACAUUCUUUUUACAUCUCAAUUCUCAUUCUUUUCCUCCAAAUACAAUCUUGUUUAUUACAUCACUUAGAUUACAAGUUUAAUACAUUUUGAUACAUUGUGUUGUUUUCAUUUUUCUAUACCCCUAAGCUAUGUCGACGGGGUACCGCUAGCUCUAGUUUCUGGGGUAGGGCGCUAUCUACGGAGCUACGCCCUUUCCUCGCGGCGCCGCGCCGCUCUCGUGUGAACCUAUAACACCCCAAAACAACGUGGGGUGAGAACCAACUCCAUGGUUCCCAGUGGGUACAGCCACCCGAGGGAAAUGCUCGACCGACAGGUUCAAAGGAGGCAACUGCAGGUUAGUUUAAUAAACAGAUAGAUAGAUAUUUUAACUAUGCAAUUAAUAGAACCAUACCUUGCCUCGCAAUUGUAACAAUGCCAUGCUAUAUGCAACGAUGCAAUAAUGCAACAAUGAGAAGUACAUCACUUGAUUCUACUUCUAUCUCGCUAUCUUACUCAGGUUCAACUAACCUCUAAGGCUUCUAUUACCUUAGAUCUGUAUUAUUUACUACUAGCCCCUUAAGAUUUCAUGUCACGCCCCAAUCCCCACCAAUUUGGUCGGGUUCGGAUCACGUCAACAGACGCCGAACGGACAGAGCCACACCUGUCCGCCCAAGGCUCUAGCAACAUGUAUAAAUAGGCAAUCAACAAGAGAAUUGUAUAUAUAAUACAAGGCUUGCACGAGGGCAAGCAACAACGGAAGCGAAAUCUCUAAGCUAAUAUACAACAUACAUGAUACUUGAUUUCAUUUGAAUCAAAUACAAGUAAAUAAAACUAUUACAUUUGCACUCAAACAUCAUUUCCUUUUUACAUUUAGCCAUCCCCAAAAUUAUACGAUUGUUUACAACUUUACAUCUCUAAAUCAACAAAAGAAGUUGAUGCAUGUAUAACAAAAGGGAAAAGGCUACAAAAUGCAUGAGACCCGGUGGCCGCAAUCUACGGCGCUUUACCCUUGCCUCGGUCCUCCGCCGCCCCGCUCGUGCUAGGACCUGUAGGGUUAGUGGUGUGAGAACUACAACAAAGUUUUCAGUGGGCUCGGCAUCCGACCUCGCCGACUUACCCACUAGGUCAUCCAGGCAUAAGUAUUUCAAGGAAAGAAAAGUAACCAGUACUAAUGCAUCUAAUACUAUGCCUGCAGGAGAAUGUCAGUGGAUACAAAUACUCAAUGCGAUAAGGAAAUGUGCAUGGGACCUAUGCCAGGCCCGGGGUGUGACAGUACCGGUACUCAAUACCAAAAAACCAGAAUUCGAGGUUUCAAUGUUAUUUCACUCCUCCGGCCACUUAAACGCUCAAGUGACAUGCCAAUAAACUCUCGACAAUCCCUCACAAGAUUUAGAAUAGUUUCACUUACUAUUCUAACACUAGAACUUCGCAAUUUGCUAAAGUUCAGUGUACUACACUCUCCCCUCCUAAAAAAGAGUUUCGUUCGCGAAACGAAGAAAUAAAUGCCUCAAAUUUCCAUGGAAAAAAGGAAGGGAUAGUGCUCCUGCAAUGUACUUUCCAGCUCCCAAGUAGCUUCGCGUUGGUCGUGAUUGCUCCAAAGCACUUUAACAUAGGGUAUCUCGCGAUUUCGAAGCUUUUUCACCUCACGAGCUAAAAUUUUCAUUGGUUGCUCUUCAAAGCUCAAAUCUUCUCAUAGCCCUAUCGAAGUAAUCUCCAAGAUGUGAGUCGGAUCAAAAAUGUAUUUCCGAAGUGCGGACACAUGGAAUAUAUUGUGCACCCCCGAUAGGUUCAGCGGCAAAGCUAGCCGAUAGGCUGCCGGGCCUAUACACUCCAACACUUCAUAAGGUCCAAUAAAUCGAGGACUCAGCUCCUCUCGAAUACCAAAUCUCGUGACUCUCUUUGUCGGCGAGACUUUUGAAAACACAUGGUCUCCAACUUGGAAUUCCAAUUCUCGUCGACGUUUAUCUGCAUAACUCUUUUGUCGACUUUGUGCUGUCACCAAACGUUCUCGUGCAAGUCGAACUUUGGAUUCAGCCUCCUGCAACACAUCUGGACCCAGAACUAGCUCUCACCUACUUCACUCCAGUGAAGUGGUGAUGUCAUAGCCCGCGACCACCCGCCUAUUUUGCAGAGGUCGCAGCGCCGCCAGCGCCAAAAGGACAGGGUUUCCCCUGUACUGCGGACAGAGUUUCCCCUGUACGUUCAAGGCAUCGCAAUCAAUACAAUACGAAAGUUCCAACCAGGAACUGAUAUCAAUCAAGAUUGCAUAUGGAAGGUAUCAACAACAUAACACAUCCUAUAUUAUUACAACAUUCUCAUUCAGACAUUCUUUUUACAUCUCAAUUCUCAUUCUUUUCCUCCAAAUACAAUCUUGUUUAUUACAUCACUUAGAUUACAAGUUUAAUACAUUUUGAUACAUUGUGUUGUUUUCAUUUUUCUAUACCCCUAAGCUAUGUCGACGGGGUACCGCUAGCUCUAGUUUCUGGGGUAGGGCGCUAUCUACGGAGCUACGCCCUUUCCUCGCGGCGCCGCGCCGCUCUCGUGUGAACCUAUAACACCCCAAAACAACGUGGGGUGAGAACCAACUCCAUGGUUCCCAGUGGGUACAGCCACCCGAGGGAAAUGCUCGACCGACAGGUUCAAAGGAGGCAACUGCAGGUUAGUUUAAUAAACAGAUAGAUAGAUAUUUUAACUAUGCAAUUAAUAGAACCAUACCUUGCCUCGCAAUUGUAACAAUGCCAUGCUAUAUGCAACGAUGCAAUAAUGCAACAAUGAGAAGUACAUCACUUGAUUCUACUUCUAUCUCGCUAUCUUACUCAGGUUCAACUAACCUCUAAGGCUUCUAUUACCUUAGAUCUGUAUUAUUUACUACUAGCCCCUUAAGAUUUCAUGUCACGCCCCAAUCCCCACCAAUUUGGUCGGGUUCGGAUCACGUCAACAGACGCCGAACGGACAGAGCCACACCUGUCCGCCCAAGGCUCUAGCAACAUGUAUAAAUAGGCAAUCAACAAGAGAAUUGUAUAUAUAAUACAAGGCUUGCACGAGGGCAAGCAACAACGGAAGCGAAAUCUCUAAGCUAAUAUACAACAUACAUGAUACUUGAUUUCAUUUGAAUCAAAUACAAGUAAAUAAAACUAUUACAUUUGCACUCAAACAUCAUUUCCUUUUUACAUUUAGCCAUCCCCAAAAUUAUACGAUUGUUUACAACUUUACAUCUCUAAAUCAACAAAAGAAGUUGAUGCAUGUAUAACAAAAGGGAAAAGGCUACAAAAUGCAUGAGACCCGGUGGCCGCAAUCUACGGCGCUUUACCCUUGCCUCGGUCCUCCGCCGCCCCGCUCGUGCUAGGACCUGUAGGGUUAGUGGUGUGAGAACUACAACAAAGUUUUCAGUGGGCUCGGCAUCCGACCUCGCCGACUUACCCACUAGGUCAUCCAGGCAUAAGUAUUUCAAGGAAAGAAAAGUAACCAGUACUAAUGCAUCUAAUACUAUGCCUGCAGGAGAAUGUCAGUGGAUACAAAUACUCAAUGCGAUAAGGAAAUGUGCAUGCAUGCUCAAUUCGUAAAUAAGCUUUGGCUCUUACCCAAUCUCACCGGUUAACCUUGUUAACCCCAAAACUCAUAACCCAAAAUCCCUUUCUUAACCGGGGAGGCUCCAAGCACUACCGACCUAAGGGACCGUCUUCAGGGACCUCGCUCCCUGUGGUGUCGAUUUUCGGAAACACACCGCUUGAGGAGGAGUGACCUCCCUCAAGCCAAGACUUAUUAUGAGUGUCGAUCAAAUCCCCGCGUUGAGAAUAUUAAGCCACUUGUCACGAUGCCACUUUUGUGAUAGGUUUUCUACCUAUGAUCUCAUGUCACUUUCUAGUCGAUCUCGUCACAAUGCCACUAUAGUUAAGUCUAUGUCUAACAUCCAUUUAUUCAAGCCAAUCUAUCUCUCUAUUGUCAUUGCCACCAUUUGUUUACUUGUGCUAAGUCCAAGUCUCACUAACAUGCAAUUCCUACGGUUCAAUAACACAUGUCCAUCGUUGUUCCAUUUCUCUCUAUUUUCAAAUACACUUGGAAUAAACAUAAUGAAAACAACCAAAGUUCACAUGUGAAUUAACCCUAAUAUGCAUGAAAGAAUAGACAACCAUAUGCUCAAGAAUAGAGAAAUAGACAUAGAAGGGAAUCCAAUGAUUCCGGCGUGCACCCCCCACCUCUAUUGGUCGUGUGGGUGUAGAAUAUGAAGGCUCCCGCACUUCACGAAAGCCGAUUUCGCGCCCUAUAAUCAAAACGGUGCCAUAUUAGGCCUUUUGUACAUGAACUAUACUCUAACAUUUUCGCAACGUUAAACGGAGUUGUCCAAUGUGUUUAGGGCACCCCCAAUUAGGUUUCUACGGGGUUAAUUUGUCCCCGAAAAAUCCUAGGGCAAAAGCCCAAUUUUCAAGCCCUAAUAUUGCCAUUUAGGGUUUCCCCAUGAAUCGAUCCCAACCAUAAGCGAAUAAUAGCCUAGAAUCAUCUAAGAAACAUCUUAGUAAGGUUUCUAGACCUUUGGAACCAACCCUAGGGUUCCUAACCCAACUUCCAAGGGUUCACCAUGAGAGCACCUUGAGCUCUCAUGGGUACCAUGGUAUUCAUGGCUCAAAAGAGCUUCUAAAAUCCCUAAGGUGCACAAAACUCAAAUCCCUUAGGUUAAAACCCAAACCCUAGAGGAAAUCCUCACAAAACUUACCUCUAGUCCAAGCUCUACUAAGAUUCUUCUUGUUGGAGAGCUCCUAGAACCUCCAAAGCACCCAAUCCACCUUCUUCUCCAAGUUCUUCUUCUUCUUCUCCAAGCCCUAGAGGAGUUCUAGAAAGAGAAAGAGAGAAAAUGAGAGAGAAAGGUGAAAAUGGCUGUGGGGGAGAGGGGGAUAGCUAUAUGAAGUGUUGUAACAAUUGCACUUAAGCCCCUCCACUUGUUUCCCAUUGAUCUGCCCAGACUGGAAAUUUUUCGUCUUCGGGGACCAGUCUCCCCGACCAGGGACCGGUUCCCGAAUGUGGGUUUUCCAGGACGUAGCCAAAUUUUCGGGUUCUUCAGCUGCUGCGCAACGAGGAACCGGUCUGCCCUUCAGGGACCGGUCUCCCGAGGACCGGUCUCACCACCAGGGACCGGAUGCCUCAGGAUUCCUGGCAGGCUACGCGUACGGGGACCGGUCUCUCCUUCAGGGACCGGUUCCCGAGAGCACAAAAUCUGGGACUUAGCCAGAUUUUCAGAUUUACUCUCUCGGGUCCCUUUUAGCUCCACUUGUGGACUCUAAUGAACUUAGGGUCCAUUCUAACUCAUUCACCUCCGCGUUCCGCUCAUUUUGAUGGAACUCGGCACGAUUUACGAGAGAUGUGAUAUGUUAUAUUCUCCACCCCUUAAUUUAGUUUCGUCCGCGAAACUACUAAGAUUGGAAUUUAAAUUUCUUACCUCACUUCGGAUUCUCGAAGAGGUGAGGAUAACGCUCCCUUAUUUCGCUUUCGAGCUCCCACGUUUCUUCCCGGUCAUCGUGUUCGCACCAAUGAACUUUAACAUACGGAAUUUCGCAGUUCCGAAGCUUUCGCACCUCCCGAUCUGCAAUAUACGCCGGGAACUCCUCAUAUGUCAUAUCCUCUUGAAGCUCUAUCGGUAUAUGCGAGAGAAUAUGAUCUGGGUCAUACACGUAUUUACGGAGUUGGGAUACAUGGAAUACAUCAUGUACUCCCGCCAGCCUCGGUGGUAAUGCCAACUUUUAGGCCACCGCACCAACUCGUUCCAAAAUCUCGAAGGGUCCGAUAUAGCGGGGACUCAACUUCUCGCGUACACCGAACCGUUUAAUUCCCCGCAUCGGCGAUAUCUUUAGAAAUACGCAGUCUCCUAUCGCGAACUCAAUAUCCUUUCGUCGCUUGUCGGCAUAACUCUUGUGCCUCGAUUGCGCCGUCACUAAUCUUUGUCGGGCAAGGCGGACUUUCUCUUCCGCCUCCCGCACCACUUCCGGGCCAAGAACCAUUUUCUCGCCCACAUCGCUCCAGUGUAUCGGCGAGCGACAUUUCCUUCUGUACAGGGCCUCGAAUGGCGCCAUCGCAAUGCUUUCUUGAUAGCUAUUAUUGUAUGCGAAUUCCGCCAUCGGUAAGUGAUCGUGCCAUCCGCCCUUGUAAUCAAGCACACACGCUCGGAGCAUGUCCUCAAGUAUUUGAAUUGUCCUUUCCGAUUGACCGUCACUUUGAGGAUGGAAUGCCGUAUUAAAAUCGAGCCGCGUGCCUAACGCAUCUUGUAAGCUCUUCCAAAAAUAAGAUGUGAACCUAGGGUCCUGAUCCGAUACAAUAGAUACCGGAAUCCCGUGAAGUCUCACCACCUCGUCAAUAUAGACUUGAGCUAACUUGUCUCCCGACCAAGUAGUGUGGAUCGGCAAAAAGUGUGCCGAUUUUGUCAACCGAUCCACAACUACCCAUAUCGCGUCGUGUCCACCUUGUGACCUAGGCAGACCUGUCACAAAGUCCAUUGCAAUGUUUUCCCAUUUCCACACGGGUAUAGGUAGACUCUGUAAUUUUUCCGCUGGAAAUUGACGCUCCGCCUUCACUUGUUGGCACGUAAGACAUUGCGCCACGAACUUCCCUAUGUCUUUCUUCGUGCCCGGUCACUAAUAAUGUAAUUUCAAGUCUCGGUACAUUUUGGUGCCGCCCGGGUGAAUGCUAUAGGGAGAUUGAUGCGCUUCUUGCAUAAUCGCCCUCCGAAGAUCGUCGUCCUUGGGCACGCACCAACGAUCCCUAUAUCGUAGUGCACCGUCGGUUCCAACGCCAAAAUCUUCGGCACUACCGCUCCCAACUUUACCCCACACCUUUUGGAGAAACACAUCCGAUAUUUGCAAUCCUUUGAUUUUCUCCAACAAGGUUGGUUGCACAAUUAGGGUGGCAAGCGUUGCCGGCAACCCCAGCGCCACAAUUUCUAGCCCAAACCGUUGCAUCUCCUUUUGUAGUGCCGGUUGAGGCGUAACCUCCGUCGCCAAAUUUUUCGCCGACUUCCUACUUAGAGCAUCGGCUAUGACGUUCGCUUUCCCGGGGUGGUAGAGAAUUGUGACGUCGUAAUCUUUGAGCAACUCUAACCACCGCCGCUGUCGCAAGUUCAGCUCAUUCUGGGUAAACAAGUAUUUGAGGCUUUUAUGAUCGGUGUAGAUCUCACAAUGUUCCCCAUACAGGUAAUGCACCGACUACCAGCUCGAAGCACCCACCUGUCACAAUCGCGCCGGAAAUCUGCGUGCGCAAGAAGUCCACCGGACCUAAGAAGAUCCACCGAAUUAGUAACUAACCUACCAAUCCAAAAUACAUGACUCAUAAACCCCACACAAAUCCCCAAAAAUCGAUUUUUCAAAACCGAUCACUGUAACUCGCCGGAAGUCCCGAAAAUCACACCGGGACGCCGUUGGGACCCACUAAGUGUCCUGAAACUCAUCGACUCGUGCUACGAGUCAUCCGCUACCACAAAACACAUCGAUUUGGACGUCUUGGCAGCAAACACAAGAGUACACAACAAAACAAUUUUCAUCGAUAAUUGUUCGGAUCCGGGUUCCCGGAGUGUUAAUUUCGACAUGGGAACUCACCGUCGCUCACUCGUCAUCUCCGAACCAGCGAUAUGACGAUGGUGACCAGUCGACAAGGCUCAGCGAUAACUCUUAGGGCAAACAAGCACCAUCGGAUGAAAUCCGAACCGAAAUCGCAUUCCGUCGGCGAAUUUCGCCGAAAAACGCACCGACCUCGACCUUCGAUUUUUGUGAAGGCUAUCGGAUCAUGGAUGUUCAAUCUAGAGGUCACCUAUCGCACGUACGUACUGCCCAUAGUAGCCACAAGAUGCACAAUUGCAUUAAAGUCCCUAUAUUUACAUAAAAUCUAUUAUUUUAUGUAAAUAAAGUAAUUUUGUAGCUCGUUCACGCAAACCGAGAAUCUUCGAGGUCUGCCGAGACACGCACUGACAGGUCUUGACAUGUUGGAGGCCGUGCUCACGAUCCGAAGCACAACGGCUCAUUGUGGGAGGCACGGGAGCGACCCGAACAUUCAGCGAACAGCGCGCACUCGUGAAAAAUCGCGCUAAAAAUGCAGAUUCGGCAACCGCUGAUCCUAAGUGAGGUGAGCAUUGUGAUCAGCACUGAACAACGACCACCGUGCUAACCUCCAGAGGCAUCAGGAUAGCCUCGGAUCGCCGAAAAAACAUGCGAAAACCAAAACAACAGCGAAAAUACCCCAGAUUGUGCUUACCGGAUUAGUGGGAUGUAGGGCACGGCCGGCGGCGGCUCUGCGGCGGGUGCGCCCGGCGGCCGACGAGUGCGGCCGUCGUGGGGAGGCCGGGGCUCGCGCCGGCCGACGGCGGGAGGUGGCGGCGGUGACGGUAGAGCAAGUCGAGCCCACAUAAGCCGAGCUCGGGCUCGGGGUGCCACGCUACCCUCGGCGGCGGCCAGGGCGCCUCGGGGCGGCGGGAAGGGUUGCCGAGGCUCCGGGGGAGGCGGCAGGAGCGGUCUCAGGCGGCGGCGGUGCGCGGGCCAACAGCUGAAGCUCAACUCGGACCGAUCCCGCCCAGGGAGCCCGCACGGGGGCUGUAACGUGGCGGCGGCGCUAGGGGCGGCUGCGGCGGGCAGGGACGGCCACCGGGGCUUCGGGGGAGGCGGCAAUGGCGGCCUCAGGCAGGGGCGGCGUGAGGGGAGGGAGCUGAAGCUCCCUCAACCCGUGCUGGCCUUAGAUGGCCGCCCCGCAGCUGUAGCACGGCAGCGGCGCUCGGCGACGAUAGCAGGCGGUAGGAAAGGCUCUGACGGGAUCUGGGCGACGCCGACGGAGAGCGAGGAGGCUAUGCAGCCUCAGGCCUUCUCUCAACCCGAGAAAAAGAGAGAGAGAGAGAGAGAGAGAGAGAGUGAGAGAAAGAGAGAGAAGAACAAGAAGAAGAAGAAGGUGGCUGCGACUACGGUUGCCGGCCGAGGCUAGGUAGGCGGCGGCUGGGGGCGCAUGGCGCACAAGGUGACGAGUGGGGAGGCGGCUUGGAUCAGCUGAUCUGGUCUAGGGUUAGGGUUUGCACCAAGUAAACCCUAGGGCACCGUUUGGUUGGCGGUAUAAGCCGGGAUAACGAAAGUUAUCCCCGCUAUUCCGCCAAACGAAAUAAUUUUUUGCUGGGAUAUUUUAUCCCGGUCAAACCUUCCUAUUCCCGGCUAUCCCGGAAUAGCAAGGGAUUUACUAUUCCACCAUUUUGAUAGAAUAGUGCUAUUCCAAUAUUUAAUUUCAAACUUUAUUAAAAUUAUAAAUUAAAUUAAAACUAAAUUAUAUAAAUAUAAUAUGUCAUAUAUUAUAAUAUAUUAUUUUUAUUAUAAAAUUAUUAAUUGUACUAUAUUAAUACAUAUUAUUUAUAUUUAAAUAUUAAAUAUUAUAAUAAAUUUUAUAAUAAAUUAUAUUUAAAUAUUAUAAAAUAUUAUUUUUAUUAAAUUUAAGUUUAAGUAGAAUUUAAAAAAAUUAUUAAUUUAUUAAUAAUAAAAAAUUUAUAAAUUUAUUAUAAUAAAUUAUUUUUAUGAAUUGUUCCCACCUCUAUUCUUAUUUUCAAAAUUUUAAAUUUUAUAUUUUAAAUUUUUGAAAUUUAAAAUUUGAUAUUUUAUAUUUUUCAAAUUUAAAUUUGAUCAUAAAUUUAAAGUUUGAAAUUUAAAAUUUAAAAUUUUGAAUUUAAAAUUUGAGAUUUUAAAUUUUAAAUUUUAAUUUAAAAUUUUAAAAUUUAAAAGUUAAAAUUUUAAAUUUAAAAAAUAUAUAUAUAUAUAAAAUUUCAAAUUUCAAAUUCAAAUAUAAUGAGAAGCGUAAUAUCAUUAUUUUUUAUUUAUAACUACCCACUUUAAUUAUUAUUCCAUCUUACCUAACCAAACGCUAUUUCUUUUAUUCCCAAGAAUAACUCAAUUUUCACCCAAAUGCAAAAUUGAUUUAAUCCCCGCUUAUACCUCAAUUUAUACUUAUCCCUGGAAUUGCCACUUUUUGCUUAUCCUCGAACCAAACGAUACCUAGGUGGCUAUAUACAUAAGGUGCAAAAUAGCAAGUUAGUCCACCGAAACCUAGUAUUUAACACUGAGUCCCACACAGCGCAUGUAAAACGCGCGAAUACACCCCACAUUCGAUUUCAUGCAAAACGAUACAUACAAUGUUGAGCUUUUCGCAAAAUUACCGUUUUGCCAAUAGUGACCCCUCCUCGAUCAACGUGCGAUAUCAUGAGAUCCGUCCGUCAAAUUUGCGAACGGAUCGCACCAGUGCAAUCCGCACGAUAGAGACAUCAAACCCACGCUUUCAUUUUGCCUGGUUUGGUCGCGGAUUCGCGACAAAAUCCAUCUUCUCUCAAAAAGGCAAACCUACACACAAAUACAUAUAAUACAUGCAUCUCCAGUUUUCUCGAAAUCUGUGCGUCAAACCUGAAAUCCAUCAGCGCCAACGGUUCCAGGAUAGCUAAACCAUCGAAAAUGAGCUAUUAGAUCACUAUGAACGAAGUCCGAUACGCACUAGAAUCCAACUCUACUCAUUGGCCUCUGCGGAAAAUCAAGUUACUCUUCACUUUAAGUGAAAAUUGAAGAUCGCGUAAAAUCUCCAUUCUAACUCGUUUUCUCCCGAAACUUGAUGAGUGUUUUUGUAAUUAAAAUACACACAAAAACAUUGUCAACAGAGAGUUUAGCUAUACUGCCAAAAUCUCAGUCCUUGCAUCCCGAAUCAAUGAAUGAUAGAGUCUUCCACAAAAUCUAUGAUGUCUUUUUGAGUGACUAAUCUUGUAGGUUUCGUCUCUAACCAUUUGGUAAAAUAGUUUACGGCCACUAUUAGGAAUUUGUGUUCAGCUGAAGAGUUCGGCUGAAUUUCUCCAAUUAAAUCCAUGGCCCAUCCUCGAAAAGGCCAAGGUUUGAUGACUACAUGCAUUCCGGAAGCUGGGAUCCUUUGUACUGAGCUAUGAAAUUGACACUCUUGACAUCUUCUGACAUAUCUUAUGCAAUUUUCGUGCAUAGUUGGCCAAUAAUAUCCUAAGUGUCGAAUGUCUAUCUUAAUCUUUUUCUGGUUAGAUACACUCCACAUAAGCCUUCGUCGGCUUCGCCCAUAACUAAUAAGGCUUUAUCACGUCCCAAACAUUUUAACAACACUUCCUCGACUGUUUUUUUAUAAAGCUGUCCAUUCAAUAAACAAUAGCCAAGAGCUCUCUCUCGUAAAUGGUAGCUAACCCAUUUAUUUGGAUCAUUAAGGAACUCUAUUAAAGGCUUUCUCCAAUCCUCUUGGAUCUCUAUAGGAGCUAUCAUCAUCGGCUCUCGUGUGUAAACCGAUGUUAACAAUCUCCUUUCUAUGUUGACUUGAUAUCUUCUUGGCUCUCUAUACCCUGAAGCCGAUUGAGCUAAGUCAUUAGCUUGAUCAUUUUUUUUUCUUGAUAAAUGCACGAACUCUACUUCUCCAAAACUGCUAAGUAACUCUAUCAUUUCAGUCAAACAAUUCUACAAAUUUCGGUUCUCACAUAGGUAUUCGUUGUUUAUCUGCUUUAUCACUAAUUGUGAAUCACCAAUAACUUUUACUGAGCGUGCUCCUAACUCUUGUAAAAUCUCAAGGCCAAUUAUUAAGGCCUUAUAUUCGGCUUGAUUAUUGGAACAGCCGAAAUCUAAUUCGAAGGCAAACUGAUAAGUGUGGCCUUCAGGAGAUUGUAUGACUAUUCUGGCUCCUGCUGAUUCGGUCGUUUUGAUCAAUCAAAAUAAAGUGUCCAAAACUAACAACCGACCAUGUUUUGCAUCGGCUCUUCAAUCUCAACUCAUGGAUGACUGGCUAAGAAAUCAGCUAUUGCUUGUCCCUUAACCGCCUUUGCCGAGACAUAAUUAAGAGAGAAUUCAGAUAAAGCCAACAUUCAUCGUCCGAUUCUUCCUCUAAAUAUUGGUUUCGAUAACAUGUAUAUAACCAGGUCGGUCUUACAAACAACUGACACUUCUACUGGUAAAAUGUAAUAUCCCAAUUUAGUACAUAUGUAAUAUAAUGCUAAGCAUAGUUUUUCUAUUACCGAAUAAUGUCGUUUGGUGUCUAACAAGCGUCGACUAAGAUGAUAAAUAGCUUGUUCUUCCUUUUCACUAUUUUCCUGGGCCAAUAAACAUCCUAGAUUUUCUUCUGUAAUCGAUAUAUAUAACUUCAUCGGUUGGCCAUGUCGAGGAGGAAUAAGGACUAGAAGAUUUGCUAAGUAUCUUUUAAUAUUUUCAAACGCCUUUUGUUACUCUCUAUCCAAAUAAAUCCCUCUUAAUUUUUGAGCCAAAGUAAUGGAGUGAAUACUCCUAUUCUACCAGCUAAAUUAGAUAUGAAGUGUCGUAAGUAGUUUAUCUUUCACAAUAAACUCUGCAAUUCCUUUUUAUUUUUAGAUAGUGGCAAUUCUAUAAUUGCCUUUGCCUUGUUUUUAUCCAUCUCGACACCUUUUUAUGUACCAAGAAUUUGAGAAAAUUUUUCGCUAAUACCCUAAAAGCACACUUCAAGGAAUUUAUUUUUAAAUUAUAUUUUCUCAUGUGCUCAAAAAGCAAGUCCUAAAUUAGUCCAAUGAUCGGUUUAUAAUUUAAAUUUUACAACGAUAUCAUCAAUGUAGACUUCCAAUAUUUUACCAAUCAAAUCAUAAAAGAUAAAAUUCAUUACCUUUGAUAAGUGGCUCUAGCAUUCUUUAAGCAGAAGAGCAUCACUAUCUAUUCAAAGGUCCCAAUAGACCCCGGGCAUCUAAAAGUCAUUUUCACUACAUCAUUUUCGGCAAUAAAGAUCUAAAUAUAACCGUAUGACCAUCUAUAAAGAAUAAAAUUUCAUGUCUGGUUGCUGAAUCCACCAGUAUGUCAGCUAUGGGCAUCAGGUACUUAUCUUUGUGUGUAGCUAGAUUUAAAUUUCUAAAAUCAAUGCAAACCCUAAGUUUGUCAUUCUUCUUUCAUACUGGUACUACAUUAGACACCCAAUCAAUAUAACGAGUCGCUCUAAUAAAUUCGGCUCUUAAAAGAUUUUUAAUUUCAUUAUUAAUCUCAGAUACAAUACUUGGUUCAAACCUACGAGCCGGUUGUUUGUAAGGCUUAUACCCCUUCUUUAUAGGGAGCCUAUAUUCUACAAUUUUUCGGCUCAAUUCUGGCAUCUAUUCAUAACUCCAGGUGAAGCAAACUUUGUAUUUUAUCAGUAACCUUGUCAGUUUCUUCUAUUGUUGAGCCAAAAGCUUUACACUAAUAUACGUCGGCUGUUUGUCUUCGCCCGACCCUAAGUUCACUUUCUUUAAUGGAUCUUGAGUCUUUAGCUUUUUCUCACCGACUUUGAUCGGCAUAGCCAUCCUUCAGCAAAUAGUCGGCAAUCAAACCGCUAAGGGUGUACCGACCAAUCAAGUCAUCAACAACAAGAGUCACAGAAAUCGAUCAACUAGGUCACAACUGGUGUCACAUCAUACACGAGUAUAGUAAACAACCGCUCUAUUUCUAGGUGAUCAACAAGUGUAAGAAAUGACUAAGUAGAGCAAUAUGAAUCAGGGUCACAUGGUGUCAGGCUCAACCAUAGCAAGUAUUGGAAGAAGUGUAGAAAGAGAAAAUAGAGAGAACAUCACCAACCGUGCACCACUAGACCAACUUCGGAUCGAAGUACCUACCUGUGUCAGCAAUCGCACCUAACUCCCGAGGUGCGUGGAAUCGUCGACCGGACAUACAAUAGAUCCAUCGAUACAGGGUCCAACUCAACCGACUCAAAACACAAUAGUCACAAUCCCAAAACUUUCCACGAAAUUAGUUUCCAAAAAAUCAAUCUCCGUACUCGCCGAAAAUCUUGAAAAACACACUGGGAUGUCCCCAGGACCCACGAAGUGUCCUGAAACGCAUCGAUUCGUACCACGUGUCACCCGCUGACCCGAAAUGAACCGAUUUGGGUGUCCGGGCAGCAAAUCUAAGUUUCCCCAAAACUUUCCAGAAAAUCAGUUUCCCAAAAAUCGAUCUCUGUACUCAUUGAAAAUCUCGAAAAACACACUGGGAAGUCCCCAAGACCCACGAAGUGUCUUGAAAUGUACCGACUUGUGCCACGAGUUAUCCGCUGACCCGAAAUGCAUCGAUUUGGCUGUUCGGGCAGCAAACCUGUUGACUCGAAUGGUAUCACACACAAACACAUUUGCACAAAGGCCCCUAAACAUCCAAAUAUUCAUAAUAUAUAUAUAAAUGGGGUGUUUAGGACCGUUACCGAGAACCGUGCAAUUUUGAGACAUGGUGAGGGUACCAGCAGGUAGGUCUCGAUGCAGCGAAACCUGUGCUCACUAUUCGAAGCGCGAACGACAGCUGAGGAGCGCGUUGGGGCUACAAAAAUGCUAUGUAGAAAAGGCUCUAGGAGCGAUAAAGCAAGAACAAUGCGAUAGGGAGUCAUAGAAACGAACUGAGGUGAGUACGAUGAUCAGCAAGGAUCCAGGAUCAUGGUGCUUACCUUCAGGAGGAUCAGGAGCCACUCAAUUGGCUAGAACAGUGAAUAAGGGCAAACUAAGCCCUACCUCAGCUAGGCAUGAAGCAGGUUGGCUCCAGCCGGUCAUUUGCGGGUGUGCACAAGUAGUGGUCAGGCGCGGAGGUCGAGGGGAGCUCCGUGCAUCCCUCAGGGGGCAUAGUGCUGCGCGGCUCGUGCCCUAGGUCUUUGGCCCAGGCAGUGGUCGGGAAGGAUGCGGGCGACGACGAGGGCUUCUUUAGGACCGAGUGGAGAGGAACGCAACGGUGGCGGCGUAGUGCUGCGUGGCCGCUCGUGCCCUAGGUUGCACUCAGGAAGCCGUAGGGACUACGGCGAUGCUCAACAGUGAUUGCAACAGUCAUGGAGGCCUCGUAGGAGGUCUGAGGCGGCACCAGAGGGGAACCAGAGGAAGAGGGUGCGCCUUCUUGCUCUCGGACAAAGAAUGAGAGGAAGAUAGUGAUGGUCGUGAAGGAGAGGAAGAAGGUGGUCAAGAUGGUAGCGUUGGUCGGUCGGAUAUCGGUCGCCAGCGGCGCAUUUCUCUGGCAGAGAAGGGGUGGUUGGGAUCGGGUUGGAGAGGAGAAGGACAAGGGUUAGGCUUUUUAGAGGAGACACCCUGUUAUCACACUUAUAUAACAAGUGCCAUUUCGCGCUUAUCUCCCCCGAUUUGUUGAAUUCACAGCCAAACCCGUCAUAGCGCGUGUAAAAUGUGCAUACGCACCUCUAUGUUUGAUUCCAUGUGAUUUGAUACAUAAAAUAUAGGGGGUUUUGCAAAAAUCUUCAAUUUGCCAUUUUCAGCCCUUCUCGAUAAUCACGUGAUCUCGGAAGAUCCGUCCGUUGGAUUAACGAACGGAUUGCAGUAGUGCUUCCAGUAUUACCGAACCAUCAAAACCACAUUUUGUUUACCUAAUUCGGUUGGAGAUUCACGACAAACCUAUCUCCUUUUCGCUACAUAUAUAUAUACAAGCUAUAUAUGUGUGUGUAUAUAUAUAUAUAUAUAUAUAUAUAUAUAUAUAUAUAUAUAUAUAUAUAAAAGUAAAUUGAAUUCAAAAUUUAAAUUUUCAAAUUCAAAUUCAAAAUUUGAAUUUUCCUCUAAACAAAAUUUCAGAUAUUACAUUAUCCCUUCCUUACAAGAAGUUUCGCCCCUAAACUUAAUUACAUUUUCCCCACAAACAGCUGUAGUUAUCGUUCCCGCAUAUCAAUUUGAAGCUCCCAAAUAGCAUCGCACUCCUUAUGAUUUUCUCAUUAUACCUUCACAUACGGAAGACUCAUAUUCUACAAUUGUUUAACCUCACGUGCCAAUAUCCGCAUCAGAGCCUUAUCAUAACUCAGAUCCUCCUGCAGCUGGAUAGUCGUCGGACUGAUGACGUGGGAUGAAUCUGGGAUGUACUUUCGAAGUAUGGACAUAUGAAACACAUUAUGCACCUGGACGAGACUCGGAGGAAGAGCCAACCUGCACGCCACCGGACCAACUCGCUCCAGGAUCUCAAACGGUCCAACAAACUGCGGAUUAAGUUUGUUCCGCAAAUCGAACCGUUUGAUUCUCCUGGAUGGUGACACCAUUUUAUUUAUUUUACUUAAAAAAUAAAAGAAAUAUUUAAAUGGGUCUGUCGGCAGACUGAAAUUUUAAAUACGUUGUUAUAUAUAUAUAUAUAUAUAUAUAUAUAUAUAUAUAUAUAUAUAUAUAUACACACACAUAUAUAGCUUGUAUAUAUAUAUGUAGCGAAAAGGAGAUAGGUUUGUCGUGAAUCUCCAACCGAAUUAGGUAAACAAAAUGUGGUUUUGAUGGUUCGGUAAUACUGGAAGCACUACUGCAAUCCGUUCGUUAAUCCAACGGACGGAUCUUCCGAGAUCACGUGAUUAUCGAGAAGGGCUGAAAAUGGCAAAUUGAAGAUUUUUGCAAAACCCCCUAUAUUUUAUGUAUCAAAUCACAUGGAAUCAAACAUAGAGGUGCGUAUGCACAUUUUACACGCGCUAUGACGGGUUUGGCUGUGAAUUCAACAAAUCGGGGGAGAUAAGCGCGAAAUGGCACUUGUUAUAUAAGUGUGAUAACAGGGUGUCUCCUCUAAAAAGCCUAACCCUUGUCCUUCUCCUCUCCAACCCGAUCCCAACCACCCCUUCUCUGCCAGAGAAAUGCGCCGCUGGCGACCGAUAUCCGACCGACCAACGCUACCAUCUUGACCACCUUCUUCCUCUCCUUCACGACCAUCACUAUCUUCCUCUCAUUCUUUGUCCGAGAGCAAGAAGGCGCACCCUCUUCCUCUGGUUCCCCUCUGGUGCCGCCUCAGACCUCCUACGAGGCCUCCAUGACUGUUGCAAUCACUGUUGAGCAUCGCCGUAGUCCCUACGGCUUCCUGAGUGCAACCUAGGGCACGAGCGGCCACGCAGCACUACGCCGCCACCGUUGCGUUCCUCUCCACUCGGUCCUAAAGAAGCCCUCGUCGUCGCCCGCAUCCUUCCCGACCACUGCCUGGGCCAAAGACCUAGGGCACGAGCCGNCGGCAACCUACCUCUCUACACUCCAACUAAAAACACACAAGUAUCACCCCCAUGAUACUUUUACAAGUAUUCUAGCCCUACUCUAUAUAUAUAUAUAUAUAUAUAUAUAUAUAUAUAUAUAGUUGGACUGGGCUACUAUUAGUAGCAAAAUUCCAUUGUUGCUACCAGUUUUGUAGCCUUUGGAUCAACUCUUUUCAUUAUUUCUAGCCAUUGGAUUAAAUACUAUAACUCAGUGGGGACCACUCAACCCUAGGGGGACCACUCAACUCUAAUCGACUAAUAUCAUCCUGACCCUACAAUUUUUCAUCCAAGGGCUAAAAACUUGAUAGCAAAAAGAGUGUUUUACUAUUAAUAGUAUUCCAGCCUAAUUCUAUAUAUAUAUAUAUAUAAAGAGAGAGAGAGAGAGAGAGAGAAAGAGAGAGAGAGAGAGAGAGAGGGAUUGAUUAUUAUAUUCUUAUAAGUAUGAUGGCUUUCGUAUUCAGAUGUCGUUUUCGAUGAUAGAGAUUCUGAAUCGACGAUUCAUACCGUUAAACAUGAUUUAGAGCAUUUAAAACUUUUAGAAAUCAAAUUUUGUUAUUUUUCAACAUUACAGAUAUUAAAAUUGAUAAUUGUUAACAGUCAGUAUGAGAUGCUUGCUAAUUUAACGUUGUAAAGAAUCGAGAUUGGCUGAAUUUUUGAUAGAAAACUUUAUUCACUAUCUAAAUAAAGAUUAAUAACUCUGAUCUUAAAUUAAAAAAUACGAUCAUCUAUUUUUUAGAGGUUGUUCAAUUUUGACCGUUCAUUUUAUGUCCACAUAAUGGACUUUAUUAUGAUUUUGAAUAAUUUUGAAAAAUUAUGAAAUUUAUUUUUAAAAAAUUUUAAAUAUUUUAGAUCAUAUUUAACGAUAUGGAUCGUUAAUUCGGAAUCUCCAUUAUCAAAAACAACUAUAAAUACAGAGAAGUUUAUACUUAUAAGAGUACAGUAAUCCUACUAUAUAUAUAUAUAUAUAUAUAUAUAUAUAUAUAUAUAUAUAGUAGCGAAGAGAGAAAAGAAGAAGAGAGUGAGAAAAGAGAAAGAUUGGCUGGAUAUUAUUGAUAUUAUUGGCCCCUUUGUUAUCAAAUUUUAACCGUCGAUGAGAAAAUUGUGUGGUUAGGAUAUAUUAGUUUCUUAGGUUGAGUGGUCCCCUAGGAUUGAGUAGUCCCCAUUGGAUUAUAAUAUUUAAUCCAAUAUAUAUAAUGAUCAAAAAAUUGAUUCAAAGGCUAAAAACUGGAUACAAAAAAGGACAAAUACUAUUAAUAAUAUUCUAGCCAAAUCUCUCUCCUCUCUCUCUCUCAUUAUAUAUAUAAUAUAUAUAUAUAUAUAUAUAUAUAUAUAUAUAUAUAUUUAAUAAUAGAUAUAUAUAUAUAUAUAUAUAUAUUGACAUGCGCGCGCGCACACACACACACACGGGGAGAGAGAGAGUAGGUGAGUGAUCCAUAGUUAAUUCGGAUUCGGCAAAAAUUCGGUACGAAUAUAAUACGUAUGAAAUUUAGUUUUUAAUUUUUAAAUUCGUUGAAAAAUUCGGCUUAAAAAGCGGAUUCGGUAUAAAAUAUAAAAUAUAUGAUAUAAAAUAUAAGAUAAUUUAUAUUUAAAAAUAAAAAUUAUAAGUUUUUUAUUCAUAUUUUUAAUAAUUCGGGAAUAAUUCGCGAAUAAUUCGGCUGGUCCAAAAAUUCGCGAAUAAUUCUCAUUCUUUGGGAAAAAAUCGUAAACGGACCGUUUAAUUCGGAUUUUCAAUAAUUCGCGAAUAAUUCGCGAAUUAACUAACUAGGGAGUGAUCCACUGUAGACCAUUUCUCAGUGUCCACGAGCUCUUACAAUAGCUCGUGGACCGGGACACUAGGAGCAAUGAUAGGAACCCGUGAACCCGUAAUUUUCUAGCUAACAGUUUUUUGUUUCUCCAAGUAGUGUAAAAUAUUUUUUACUAAAAAUUAUUCUACAUCAAGUUCGACUUUUGAAAAAUUACUUUUAGGUUCAUAAAAACUUUUGGACAAUCUUUACGUGAAACCUAACACCUCUAAGCCUCGCGCAUCAGUAACAACUCAACAAUUAAUGGAGAGUUGAUUCAAGCUUUCCCCAAUAUAAGUUGUUCAAUUGUGUAGUAGUGAUGUUCCGGUGGAAACUCUGAUGCAACUUGAGCACGAAUUGCAAAUCUAUUGAGUGAUGGCCCCUCAGUUCUAAGACAUAUCAUUUGCUCAAACCUUGUAUUCGGCAUUUAAUUAAUAGCAUGUAGCAAUCAAUUUCCAUGAUGCACGUACGUCAGUAGCGCUGCCCAAACUAGUUGUAAGCUAUAUUCAAUAAAACCAACCAUUCCUAACGCAAGGGGCAAAGAAUUUGAUGAUUAGUAUCUGAGGUCUCAAAUUUGAAUCCUACUUGACUCGUAACGAGCUACCUAUCUCUCUCUUUUUUCUCAAAAAGAAAAAAAAAAAGAUCAUCUAUUCUAGUAACACUUUCUAUAUAAAUAGGACCAUAAAUUUUUAACCAAGGUUCUUUUAACUUUUUUUAUUUUUUAAAAUAUUAAAUUUAAUUAAAAAUACAAACUAAUUAGAUUUCGAAUUUAAAAUCUCAUAUAGCUGGCAAGUAGGUCUAGUCAUGUACAGUACAGGCAACUGCUAGGCUACUCGAUGAGCCCACGGCCUGUACACAGACUCUUGCUCCCACAGGCCAUGCGCUUCUCGUGAACUGGCCUGAUCGAAAACCAGGACAAUAUAUUAUAUGGCUUAAUUAUUUGUCCCGUAGGUCCCCGCCAAUUUACUUCUAUCUAAUAAAUCUUUUAACUUGUAUUUUUAUAUUCUUAUAUUAAUUAAGUUUUACCUUUAAAAAUCCUACAUCACUAAUAAAAAAUUGCAACAUGGGAAGCUUUGGUGCCAAUAUGGUAGUUUUUUUGGGUGCUCACAUGCAUGUUCCAUGGAGUUAGUAAUUUUGAUGGCUAAGAUCGUGGUGCAGUUAAAGCAAUGAUGAAGAACCGAUUGACAAAAGUGAAAAAUCCAGUAAAGAUUGGAAAUUUAUGGUACCAUUAAUUAGUCGUCCAUAUAUACACUGAUGACCAACCCAUUCGAUAUUACUUCUUGCAUGCCACUUCUGCAAUUAAUACUCCAUACAUUGUGGAACACUAUUAAUUAUUAUUUUUUUUUUAGAGAUAGAUAGCAGCACGCUACCCGCUUCGUUUAUUUCAUUUAAAAAUAAACUAAGCUAAAAAUAUGAAUCAAUUACGAUUCAAACUUGGAACCUCGGGUAUCAACCAUCAAGCCAUUUGCCACUUGCUCUAAGAACAGUCAGAGUUUAGGUCAUAGUUCAUAAAAAAAUGUGUUUUUUAUUAUUCCUAGUUUUAUUUUUGUUUCACUGUAGAUAUCUAUAUUUAUACCUAUACUUACACAUUAUUUCUCAUGAAAUUUGUCACGUGGCAAUUUCUCCUUCAUCACCCUUCCACUCCCCGAUAUUCUGCCUUCCCACCUCCAUCUUUGUCCGAUGCUUUGUCUUCCCACCCGUUCACUUUCUAAUUAAUAUAUCAACAUGAUCCAUUUUCUUCUAAACAAAUCGCUUAAAAAAAAGAAUAAAAUAAAAUCUUUUCAUAUUUUUUUUAUUAUUUUUUCUUUUUAUUUUUCUUUAUGCACAAGAAGAGCUCAUUUUUUGUAUUUUUUAAAUUUUUUAAAAUUGUGUGGGAAUUGAAAUUAGGGUUCUGAGGAUCGUGGCGACGUGGCGAGGUGAAAUACGAUGGAUUUGGAGUCGAUGAGGGGAAAGAAGCAGUGGGUGUGGGGGAUCCAUACGGCAACGAUGUGACCGUGAUCAAGGAGAAGCUCGACGCUGAUAAUGGCGGUGGAGGCAAUGCGGAGAACGAGAAUCAUCUGUCCAAUCUUGGCAGCACGAUCAAGAUGUAUAUGAAGUAGUAAUUUUAUUACCGCUUCUUUUAUUAUUAUUAUUAUGCAUAAUUUAUUUGCUACUAUAUUUAUACAUAUCUAUUUUAAAUUUUCUAUUUGUAUUUAUUCAUGUUGCAUGACAAGUUAAAAUAUUUUAAAAUUUUAACAUUUUUAAUCUUUUUAUCUUCUAUAGCAUUAACUUACCGUAAUACGUGAGUAACUUCACUACUGUACCAUUAAGUUUCGUUUGAAAUUUGACAUAGAGUGUAUUAAGAAGAGCUAUAAAUUCUGCCCAAAAAACUAGGUUGUUUUUUCUGUAAGUAUUGACACAUUUUAUACAUUUUAUCAAUUUGAUUUGAGAAAUAUAUAAUUUCUGUGGUUAGACAAGAGGACACGUUAGCAUACAUCUACUUGCUUUCCCACAAUUCUUUUUCAUCCAAUAUUAUUGGGUGGCCCUUGAGAUGCUAAUGGAUAUGAAACACGGAAGAUUUUGUUAGUUAUAUGCCCAAAAGCCAAUCUGGUGACACUAGCUUAAGGGUAUUUAUGUAUUAAUUAUUUAUAAUUCAUAAUAUGAGGGCAGAUAAUCUAUUCAUAUAUAUUGUAUAGCAGUACAAUAUUGAUAUGAAUCGUCCAUAGGGUCUUUGUUUGGAAAGACAUAUUCCUAAGAGUUAGGAAUUUGAGGUAUGUACUUUUCUGUACAAGACUCUUUAAAUACUCCUAGCCAGAGGAAUAUUACAGGGACGGUGAUAUUCCGGAUAGGCCGGUGUAUGCUAUGUUUCUAAUUGAGGUGACGAAUCUCAAGUCACUAGUGUAGGGACACUAGAACAAGCAUACAGGUGCUUGUUAGAGAACAAGUACACUGAGCGUGACUAUUUAGUUGAACAGUCACAUGGUUCUAUGCUCGCCAGUGACAAGUUCAUUGCUACAGUUGUGUGAAGUACUCCUCGGACAUGAGGCAUCAUAGUUGCUUCACGUAUAGGUUGCUACCGUUUGACAGUACUAAUACUUAAACUCUAGACAUGGGUCUAUGUUCGGUACUGAUUGGCUGUAGUGAUUUAUGCGAGGAGGCAUGUGAAUGCGCAAUAAGGAAUCCAACACUUUCAAUGACGAAGGAGAAUGUCCAAUGCAGUCUAUCGGACUUGACUCGGAAAACCCCUGGCCAGGGUACAUGGUAUGUGGAAAGAGUUUCCAACUGUGUUACCAUAUUGAGUUGAUUUCAGAUAGUCUAGUCAUAUGAUUGAAUGAUAAGGUUUGGCGAGUAACCAUGACCUUAGUUCGAUUGGGACGUUGUAUGUUGGAAGGAAUUAAUCACAUGGUAACUGUAAGCGGAAAGGUUCAUUCUUCAUCACCAUUCUGGAUUACCGUAAUAUAUUGCUAGGUGUCACUUACGGACGGUGAGAGAAUAUGAAUAAUUCGAAUUGAAUUGUUCUUAUUUAUCGAUUAGAAGAGUUCUAAUUAAAUAUCAAAGAGUUUGAUGUUGAGCUCCACUGCCGAAUGGUAAUGAACCUAUGCGGUCACACACAUUAGGAAUUGUGUGCACCCGAAUCGUUUGGAUGAAAGUCGUUCACUAAAGAGUUUAGUGUAAGCGAUGAAAAUAAAAGGAAGCUGCUUAAUUAAAUUAGAUUUAAUUAUUCGAUUCGGUUAUAACUGAUAGUCCUAAUUAGAUUAGGAUCUCAGAAUCAGUUAGAGAAUUAUGCGCAAGAUUUAAAUUUAUCUCUAAUUAGAUUAGUAGAUAAUAUUUAAUCAUCAAAAGGUAUUUAAAUGAGAUUUAAAUAUUAGUAAGUAAUCUUAUUGGAUAAGAUUAAAAUAAGAUAAGAUCUAAUUAAAUAUUAGCGCGAUUAAUAUUUAUCUCUAAUUAGAUUAGUAGAUAAUAUUUAAUCAUAAACGAUAUUUAAAUGAGAUUUAAAUAUUAGUAAGUAAUCUUAUUGGAUAAGAUUAAAAUAAGAUAAGAUCUAAUUAAAUAUUAGCGCGAUUAAUAUUUAUCUCUAAUUAGAUUAGUAGAUAAUAUUUAAUCAUAAACGAUAUUUAAAUGAGAUUUAAAUAUUAGUAAGUAAUCUUAUUGGAUAAGAUUAAAAUAAGAUAAGAUCUAAUUAAAUAUUAGCGCGAUUAAUAUUUAUCUCUAAUUAGAUUAGUAGAUAAUAUUUAAUCAUAAACGAUAUUUAAAUGAGAUUUAAAUAUUAGUAAGUAAUCUUAUUGGAUAAGAUUAAAAUAAGAUAAGAUCUAAUUAAAUAUUAGCGCGAUUAAUAUUUAUCUCUAAUUAGAUUAGUAGAUAAUAUUUAAUCAUAAACGAUAUUUAAAUGAGAUUUAAAUAUUAGUAAGUAAUCUUAUUGGAUAAGAUUAAAAUAAGAUAAGAUCUAAUUAAAUAUUGGAGAGAUUAAUAUUUAUUUCUAAUUGGAUUAGAGAAUAAUUAAUAUUCAUAAUAUCUUAUAAGGUAAGAUUUUUACUAGAUUUGAUUUAGUUGGAUAGCAUGAAUAUUUAAUUGUUAAAUUGGAGAGAGAGAAAAUCUUACUAGAUAAGAUUUUAUGAAAUAUAGAUAUAUAGAUAUAUAUAUGUAUGUGUGAAUACAUAAUAAUAAUGAUAAUAAAAGAUGAAGCCGUACGGCACUCUGUGCUGUAUAGAAUGGAAUUCUAAAUUAAUUAAGGUGGUCAUGCACCUUAAUUAAUUGGAUCCAUGAUAGCUAUUGAUCUAUAUACAUAUAGAAAUCAAUCUCUCUCCGAUCUCUCUUCUGCGCACGUGUUUCUUUCCGAUCAACUUCUCUAUUCUUCAUCGACUGAAAGAUCAUGAAGUGAUUGCUAGCACCGUCCAGAUGGUCCGUGACUCAUCCGGUUCGUGAGACGAAGAUCGAUCGGGUAUGCGCCGAUUCCGUGUGGAUACGCGUAGAGGCCGGGCAUGUGCGCGGCUAAUAAGAAUCUCUGUUCGUCAUAUUCAAUUUCAACCGUACAGUAGAUCAAGAGACCUUAACUGGUCCACGGUAAGAUUUCUAAACAUAAAGAGUUUUUGUUUAGAUUAAUUUUUUGCAUAGUAACAUGAGAAUGAUCCGCCGGCAACGGUUUGAUUUACUGGUUUUCGGUUUUCAUAUGUGAUAUGUAUUUAGCUUCCGAAAAAUUUUAAAAGUGCAAAAUUAUUUUCCGCUGCGUUUUUCUGAUGUGCCGGUUAUUUUCUAACAGAUUUUACUCAAACCUGAAUUUCAAAUGGGACGGAUUUACAGAACGAACCAAAUACAAAAUUAAAUCAGUAUAAAAACUUGUUCUUUAGAAAUUUACAAUAUGAUUUUUUUUAUAUUUAUUUUAAUCAUGAAUAUAUAUUAACGAUCUAAUAUAAUAUUUUACUAUAUAAAAGUUGGGUUCCAUUUUUCAAUUUUGGAGAUAGAUUUUGAUUUUUUUUAAUUUAGAUUCGGUUUCAAAUUUUCCAAAAAAACAUGUUGACAUGGCUAGCUGAUUCUCUACGUCAAAUGGGCUUUAAUAGAAGAGCAAAGUGUUACAUUUUGCAAUUGAAUAGUAGAUUAGGUUAAAUUAAUUACGAAAUCUCCCUUAUGCUUUACCUACUGUCUCAAUUAACACUUCACAUAAUUUUUGUUUUAAUUUGACCUCAUACAAUACCACUAGGUUAAAUUAAUAGUUCUAAAAAUUUUUAACGAUCAACGAGAUCGGGUAUAAUUCUUCAUUAAAAUGAGUUGGCAAAUAGUUAUUAUUAUAGAGAGCCACAUUAGUAAUAAGAAAAUCUUUUAUGUAAGUUGUAAUUUGGAUAGUUGUUCGAUUUUAUAUUAAUGUGAUGUAUCAAAUUAUUUUGUUGUACGAUCUAUUUUAGAUUGUAAUUCUACAACUUUUAUAAUCCAAAAGCCAUAUAUUCGCUACAAGUCUGAUAACUUUUUCUUUAGACAAUGCUCGGAUAAAUGAUUGUAGAGAUUAUAAUUUCUUUUGAUUGUAAACUCAGGAUUUCUCAUAAUAGAAUAAUGCAAGAAUAAGAAUCUAUAGAGUUUUCCGAAAUUAUGGAUCAUUUUGAAACGACAACCCGAUAUUUUAAAAUUUAAUAUUUUUACAGAUAUAAAUUUGUUCAAGUCAAUAAUUAGUUUUCAAGUUAAAAUAUUAUUGACAGACUGACAUCAAAUAAAUUGAAAGCUUGAAAAAUAAAUUUAUAAUUUUGAAAAAUUAGAUAGACACUUUAAAAUAAUUCAUUGCUGUAGUAAUGUAUGUACGUUUUUACCGUAACAGAAGGCAACUUUGCUAGCACGCAAAAGCUACAAACACAAUUGCAGCGAAUCCGCUGUCAAUAGCUUUCGACAGCGACACGUCCAUCGGGCUUCUCCGCUGCCGGCGCGGGGGCCCCAUCAGUCGCGCUCCCCACUCACAAUGCCACGUGGCGGCGGCACGGGAACAUCGCACCACACUCCACGACAGACGUGGAAGGGAUACGGUACACCACGAAAAGUGUUACGCGGGUCUGGUCCAAUGAACCGGACCGGCAAAACAGUUAUAGCAACUGUAGUAGAUGGGUCCGUUUCGAACCGGUCCGGUUCACGAGUCACGUGGUAAACAAGGUCCAAUCAAUAAUGUGCCCGCUAAUGGCCCCCAAGCGUCUCAGCGUCUGUAAGAGGACCGGAUCAAAAUUCAAUGCUUUCGCAGCGAGCACAACCCCACGAUCGCCAUUAAUGGAGCUCACAAUCCCCACGCCGAUACACCCACGAGCUCCCGCGGAUACGAAGCAUCAUAACACCAUUAAUUCCCCUACCACACUCCAUGAUCCAUAGUCUCAUUAAUUUCAAUCAAACAUACAUACCGGUUGUUGUCGGCGCGGGAGGAUAUAUAUAUAUAUAUAUAUAUAUAUAUGAUGAUGAUGAUGAUGAUGCUCCAUCGCCAGCUCUCGGCGCCGCACCCGAUGACGCUCGCGGGCGCGCGGGGCCGCUGCGAGCUCAACGACGAGCUCCGCGUCAAGGCGACCGAGCUCGAGAGGCGGUUCGCCGAUUACAAGCUCCGGAUCGGAGCCGAUGGGACCGGGCCAGCGCCGCGGAGGGGCGAGAUCAGAGGAGGCACGUGCGCCGAUGCUGAUGGCACGUGCGGUGGGGAGGAGAGGAGGAGGAGGAGGAGGAGGAGGAGGAGAGGGGAGCUCUACGGAGCGUACAUGGAGAGGAGGGACGCGAGGUUGCGGGAAGGGUGGAGGACGAGAAUGGAGGAGAAGGAGGCGCAGAUGAAGGCAAUGUGGGAGAGCUUGGAGCGGAGCAGGGCGGAGAUGGCGGCGCGGUUCGGACGAUCCAGGAGCCAUAACGUCGAAAAGGUAACACACUGUUUUUUUCCUUUUUCUUCUGUUAAAACUGAUAGGUUUGAUGAUUGUUUCUAUCUUCCAUUAAGAUGAUUGUUUGUGUCUCAGAGACCUAGUUUGGUAAUGUCCUAGUUAAUACACGCCUCUCUGGUAACGAUUGUAAGCACAAUUUUAAAGCAUCAUAGAAAAAAAAAAAUGAUUAUACGCGAUUUUAGAUUUUUGAGUUUUUAUAAUAUAAAAAUAAUGCUUUUAGAUUUUUAAAUCUUUUAUAAUAUAAAAAUAGUACUUUUUGCUACCAUAUAAUUAAACUAUUCCUGCCUGCACUCUAAGACUUCAAUAUAAGAGUUAUUUUGAUUAAAAUAUAUGAAAGUUAUUUGAGCUAUGACAUAUUUUAAUAUGACUAUCUAAUCUUUAAAAAUUUUAAUUUAUUUAAUUUGAAUUAUUUUAUAACUCUUCGGCUUCUGAAUUUGGAUACAUCGUUCAUAUAAUUAUGUUCUUAUUAAAACAUGCAGCACAUCCACAUUUUAUAUAUAAUCGAACAAUGACUGUAUAUUGCUCGAAUUAAAUAAAUUAAAAAAAAUUAAUACUAAAACAAAAUUCUUUUUAAGUUGUACAGCUGAAUAGAUCAAAAUGGAUUAUACUUUGGGUAAUUAAGUUUUCUAUUUUUUUUCUCUUUUUGAAUGUAAGACACAAGGUGAUAUCUUCCAUAAUUUACUUAAUGAGAUAAAAAUGAUACACAAUUUUUAAUUUUAAGUGGUAUCUCAGUAUCCGAUUUGAUGCAAGCAUACUAAGAAAUUCAGCAGUCUAGUGAAACUAGUCUAACAUAAACAAUAAAAUGAAAAAAUGAAAAAAAAAAGCACAAACUAAUAUUACUUAAAUAAAAGAUGCCCAAUUUGCAUAAUAAAUCUACUAAUUUUGUGAUUUUGCAAAAAUUGGUCACUAUGUUGGGUUUUACAUAUUCGAGUCGGAUUUUCAACAAACUAAUCAAAAUAUCUUUAUUUCUCUCUCUCUCUCUCUCUCUCUCUCUCUCUCUCUCUCUCUCUCUCUCUUCUUCGUUCUUUUUUUUUUUUCUCUUUGACCAUCAUCGUCUCCUCCACCGCCUCUGCCGUCCUCGAUGACGGAAACAAUGACGGCGCCACCUCCUCUUCCUCUAUCUCCUCCUCCGCUGGUCCCGGCGGCUCUCGGCGACGGUAACGAGGGUGACGCUGCCUCCUCUUCCUCUGCCUCUGCCUCUGCUUCUGCUUCCUUCGGCGUCGGAGAAGGAAAAGGAGAAGCCGAAGCAGGCCAGAGUAAGAGCGGAGCUGACGGAGACGAUGAGAUUAUUGCCCAGGAAGUGCUCACCGUCUAUGAGGGUGAGAAAAAAAGACGCGCCCAUCUCUAAAAAGUCAACGAAGGUGCAGUGAGUGGAAAAAAAACAAGAAUAAAAAGUUAAAAAAAAAGAAAGAAGUUUUUUUCUCUUUGAAAUACCAUUAUAUAUCGUUGCUGCUACCGAAAAGACUAAGAAUCAGAAAAAAAAAAAAAAAAAGUAAGAAAAAGAUAAAGGUUGGACUAUUAAAAUAAAAUUGCAAUGUUUUGCAAAAAAAUUAUACUAUUUAAUAUGAACGCUGCAUUCUUUGAAAUACAAGUUAUACUCUUUGAAAUAAAAAUUGCACUAUUUCGAUAAAAAUUGCACUGUUUUAGAGAAAAUGACACUCUACCUUCCAUGGCGACCAUCCUCACCAACGCAAUCCUCUUGACCCCACGUGCGGUAUUAGAGCGCCAAAAUACGGAAACGGCCUACCUCUCCAGCGCGAGGCUCGCGCUAUUCCCAUGUGGCGAUAAAGCAGAGGGGGUCGGAGAAGUCAAACGCCUAGUCGGCACCGUAGCCAGCCACCUUGACUCCCUUAGUAUGGCAGCGGAAACGGUGGAGGCAGCAGAGAUGAUGCGUUGGCGGCGAUGACGGAGGAGGAGCCCAUGUAGAGCGAGAGUGCUGCGAGGCGGAGGCGGCGGCGGCGGCGGCGGCGGCGGCGACGGCAGUGGAGCAGGAGACGUGAUUGAUAGAGACGAGCAGGGUGGAGGGGGAGAAAGGAGGGGUAGGAGCGGGUCAAGGGAAGAGGACUCAGAUUUGGGCACCUUGUGGGCAUACUUGAUGAUCUUGUUGAACAUGGUGCCGGCUCUGGUGUCGGUGGCGGCGGCGGUGGUGGUGGCGCCACCGUGUGGGAGUAGAGAAAGCCUCACGUGCGGGGAGUAGGUUGUCUCCUUAGUUAGUUAAUUCGCGAUUAAAACGCGAAUGAUACGCGAAUUUUAAAAAUUACGUAUUAAACGGUCGGUUCUGUAUUUUUCCGAAAAGUUCGAAAAAAAACGCGAUUUCUUCCUAAAAAAAACUUGUUCGCGAAUUAUUCGUGAUUCGCGAAUGAUUCGACCAAAAAAACGGUGCUCUCGAUCACGGAUUCGCGGCCGAGGGUCGUGUCGUCGCCGUGCUCGUGGUUGCCGCCGCGCUCGUCGUCGCUGAUUCGCGGCCGAGGGUCGCGUCGUCGUCGCUCUCGUUGCCGAACUCGUCCGAGUUGUCCUCCUCCUCCUCCGCCGCCCUGGCCGGCACCGGGAGCAAGAGCCGCGGCGGCGGCAGAUGCCCUCUCGCGCCGUCCGCGGAAAAAUGUGGAAGAGAAACAGUAAAAAAAAUCGGGGCUUUUGAGUAGACUUUUGUGCGCGGUCCACGACCACGUCGUGGACCGCAUGAGAGGGAGGUCCACCGUGGACCUCCCUCUCAUUAAUCAUUAUAUAUAUACUUACUAUAUAAAUAUAUAUAUAUAUAUAUAUAAUAUAUAUAUUAAAUAUAUAUAGAGCCGUCUGGGGUGCUUUCGUAAGCACGGAGCGCUCCGUGCUUCCACUUUGUUUCGAUGUUGGACUUUCAAUCGACGAUCGGCUCCGUUAGACUUGAUCUAGAGUAUUUGAAGUAUCUAGAAAAUAAAUUUUGCGAUUUUUCGAUAUCAUUUGCCUAGUGAUCGAAGUGGCUAAAAUCAACGGCUGAAAUAAAAAUCUCACAAAAUAUGAUGAUAUGACAUUAAAAUUUUAGAUUGAAGUUAUUGAUCUUGUUUAUAUGGUAUAAAGAAUUUUCUAUCAAAAUUUCACGUGAUUUGGAUAUUUCUACACCGUUAAACUUGCAACCGGCUCACCACGGCCGUUAAAAUUAUUGAUUUUGAGCCCUUCGAUCACUAGGCAAAUGAUAUCGAAAAUAUCGCAAAUUUAAUUUCUUGGUACUUUAAAUACUCUAGAUCAACUCUAACGGAGCCGAUCGUCGAUUCGAAAGUCCGAACAUCGAAAACAAAGUGGAAGCACGGACCGCUCCGUGCUUCCGAAAGCACCCCAGCCCACCUUAUUAUAUUAUAUAUAUAUAUAUAUAUAUAUAUAUAUAUAUAAUAUAUUAAUAUAUAUAUAUAAUAUAUACUAUUAUUAUAACUAUAGAUUUUAUUUAUAAAUAUAUAUUCAUUUAUUUAUUAUAUAUAAUUUUGUAUUUAUAAAUUUAUAAAUAUUUAUUAAUAUUUCUAAAUACAUAACUCUUAUGUAUUAUUAAUAUAUAUUUAUUAUAAUUAUGAAUAUAUUUAAUUUAUAUAAAAAAGCAUAAAAAUAAUAUAUAUAGUAUAUUAAUUAUUAUAUAUUUAUUAUAUAGCCGAAUUUUUUAUUCUGAAUUUUUAAUUGAUAAACAUAUAAUAUCCUUAUAAAUUACGUAUCCGAAUAAUUACCAAAUCCGUUUUUUAACUGUAUUUUUCAACGAAUUUAAAAGUUAAAAGAUGAAUUUUAUCCAAAUUAUACCCAUACCGAAUUUUUGCCGAAUCCGAAUUAACUAACUAUGGUUGUCUCUAAGUUUUGAUGCUCCGAUGCGGCGGGCAGAGUGGAGAGGUUUGCGUUGGUGAGAAUGGUCACCAUGAAAGGUAGAGUGCAAUUUUCUCUAAAACAGUAUAAUUUUUAUCGAAAGAAUACAACUUUUGUUUCAAAGAGUAUAAUUUUCAUCUUAAAGAGUGCAACGUUCAUCUUAAACUGUUACGCCCCAGAUUACCACAUUUUUCCGGGCACGCUAACAGACCAGCCGUAUACAAAGAAAUUUUUCUUGUAUACGAAGCGAUAGUUGCACCUGUAAUCACAAUAAAACUACGACAAGUAAUAUAGAGCUGCUAAACUGAAAAAGAUAUAUAUAAAAAAAAACCUCAAGGGGUUCCAGUACAUGCAAAAUGUCUACAACACAACUCGCUCCAGCAAGCACCCCGACAACAUCACAAUAUGUACAAAAAAAGCCCAAAACUACCUUUGGAAGGUAUUCCUCUAACACUGCAACAAGGCUGGAAGGGAUCUCGCUCGCGACUCCCUUUCCACGGUCAGAAUCAACGACAGCAACAACCGCGGACGAAGGCUCUGCAAAAGGUGUCAACAACUCGGUGUGAGAACUACUACAAAAUAGAGUAGUCUUCAGUGGGUAUCGUCACCGACCUCAACGGCUCAGCCACUAAGUCUACAGAAAUAUGAGCAAAGGAUAGUAAGGAAAGCUGAAAAAACUCUACAGCUACAUAUCUCCAUACUAACGCUAACCAACAUAGGCUAUCUGUAGAUAUGAAAGAUGCCUCACUCUGACCCAAUCUCACUGGGGACUGCAAUAUGCCCAUCCCGCCUGUCAAAACGACCACGUACACCACUCCAAAAGUAGCUGGUGGAGAAAACUCUCUGGGGAUUGCGAUACGCCCAUCCCGCAUGUCUAGGCUACACCGUACACCACCUCGAGAGUAGCCGGUGGAGAAAUCUCUUUAAGUAUAAAGGUCCGACAGGACUGCUGCGACUCAACACAAAACACAACAUCACUAAGGGUAGAGAAAGACGUCACUAACUACUACUGACCCAACCUCGCACGGGCUACCCAAACGAACCCACCCUACCUGUAUCCAGCUCAAGAACCGUCCAAACAGAAACUGCGAUCUCAUCGCACUGAAACCUCAUUCCGGAAUGGCAUUCGUGGACGCGACCCAACCGAGUUUACAAGUAUCUCUGCAAAGUUCAUUCAGGCUCUCACAGGCUGUAAUCACUAUAGAAGGGGUCAAACUACUCAAGUCCCCAACUCACGUGCCCCUGACACAAUCUGAUGCAAAAAUGCAGCAGUCUGGGUCCACCGUCAAUCCCGAUGGCACCCGUCGGUCCGACACCGUCUAACUCUACUGUAACAACACACUCGGCUCCUCAGCGCGAGCGUAAAAUCAACCUACACUUGUCUAAGUAUCUACCUUGCACUAACAGCGGUGAUACAGAAAUCUGGGUCACUGUCAACCCCGACGGCAUCCGACAGUACGAAACAGUCUACACAUUACUGUAAAACAAUCUUGGCAUCCUAACACGAGUGUAAACUCACUCUACACUAAUCUGGGUAUCCCCCGCGCACAAACAACGGUGAUACAAAUUAAUAUCAGCUCUUAUAGCUAAAUCUGGUAAUUUUAGAAAAUGACAGUGUAGAAUCUAAUAUGUUUUCUCCUAAGUCAAUUCCAAGUCUAACAUGAAUAUAAUACUAGCUUAACUCCAAAUUCAGGUUUUAUAGCCUAAUCUACAAUUUCCAUGAAUUCGAGUACUAGCACAAUAAACCGUAACCAAUAAAUACAUAUUGAUGGUGAUAGGACUUAGAUGGAAAUCCGGCGAUUUUUGUAAGCUUCAACCUACCUCGAAAAGCUCGUCCAACAACGACGAGAAGUCGAAAGAAGGGAAAACAUAUGCUCGCCCGGUCUCGGCACAACUGCGACGGCCACGCGCUCGAACGGCCCCCCGGAUCGAGUCGACAACCUCUCGGAGCUCAAGCCGUAGCCUUCACCAAGCACACAAUUAAACUAGAGAGAGAGAGGGAAAACCACGCGCUCGCUCGGCCUCCCAACAAUGCGUCGACAACCUCUCGAGCUCGAGCCGCGACCUCUACAACGUACGAGUCCACCGGCUAGAGAAAGAGAGGGAAAUAAGAAGAAUAACCGGCUCAUACUCUCUCUCUGUGAAUAAAUAGGUUGGGAGUAACAUUGGGUUGAUCGACACAUCAAAUGACCAAAAGGCCCCUCACAAACUCAAAAAUUCAGCUGGAAUAUCGAUAUCCAACUUGGUUACCGGUACUCGGCCUCUCAACCCGCAAGCUCGCACACACGGUACUGGUACUCGCCCGAUGCAGUACCGGUAGCCGAGCUCGAUGCCGGUACUCAACAGGUCAGUACUGAUACUCAACAGGUCAGUACCGAUACUCAACAGGUCAAUACCGGUACUCAGCAUCAAAUUGGCGCAACUCGAGAGCAUCAGUUCUGGAAUUCCACUUGGGUACCGGUACUCCUCUCCCUUGUACUGGUACUCAACACUGAAAUCUUUCACUUUACAGAUUUUAAUGUCAAAACUCUGCUCUAGCAUCGCACUGAGUCCGUUUUGUGUCCAGUUUGCCCAAAACUACUCCGACUUGUCUCGACAUUCUUCAGAUGUGUCGACAAGUCUCAAAUGCUGAAACACACGGCUGCAGAACACUAAGGACACUACAUAAACAGUGCAUGUAUCUUAUAAAAUAGUGCAAUUUUAUUUUAACAGUGCAAUAUUUAUCUUUUUCUUCAGCUUUUUCUAAUUCUUAAAUUUUUCGUUAGCAGCAACAAUAAAUAAUAAUUUUUCAAAGAGAAAUUUAUUUUUUAUUUUUUAUUUUUAUUUUUUUGUUUUUUUUUUCUCCUCUCUGCAUCUUUGCUUGCUUCUAGGAGAUGAACACGUCUUUUUUCCUCAUCCUCACGGGCGGCGAGCACCUCCUCGGCAACGACCUCAUUGCCUCUGUACCCUCUACUGUCACCCGGGCCCGUCCGAGUUCUCCUUCUCCUUGUCCGGUGCUGGCGGAAGUGGAGGCGAAGGUGGAGACGAAGGAAGAGGAGGUGGCGUCGCCCUUGUUACCGUCGAUAAGGGCCGCCGGCGUCGGUGGAGGAGAUGGAGGAGAAAAAGGAGGUGACGCCGCCCUCGUUACCGUCGCUGAGAGUCACGGAUGCGGUGGAGCAGGCGAUGAGGGUUGGAGAGGAAAAAAAAGGGUAAACUUUAGAUACCACCCCUGUAGUUUCGUACUUUCUCACUUUAGUACCUUGUGGUUUAAAGUGUAUCAAGUUAGUGUCCAUUUUUUUUAUUUUUAUUUUUUCGUUAGUUUUUCCAUUAAUAUUUCGUUAAAUUAUAUGCCAAAAACUUUAGAUACCCCACCUAGGUUUAUCGAAUAUUCACUUUAGUACCCUUUAGUUUUAACUUUGUUAUUGAUUUAACGAAAAAAUUAGUGGAAUCGAUAAUAAAAAGAUAAAAAUGAAAACACAUGACAUUAAAUUGAUACACUUUAAAUCAUAGGGUACUAAAGUGAGAAAGUGUGAAACCGUAUGGGUGGUAUUUGAAGUUUUUUUUAAAAAAAUAAAAGAAAAAAAGGAGAGAGAACAGAAUAAGAGUAUUUUUGUUAGUUUAUUGAAAAUCCAACCCAAAUUUGCAGAAUUCUGAAUAUUGACCUACUUUUGUAAAAUUGCAAAACUAAUAGAUUUUUUAUGCAAAUUGGCUAUAAAAGAUAAAACAAGAAAAAAGAAAAAGGUUUAUAAAGAGAACUGAUUGUAGAAGUAAAGUACACACCGCCGCCUACUAAGAAAAAAAGAGAACAGUAAAACAAUUUCUCCUCCACUUUCAGAGUUAUCAAUAAAUAUCGUACAUUUUUUCCUAAUUUUUUAAACGACUCAAGAUGUUUUUCCCUAAUAGUUGAUAACUGAAAGAAGAAAAAAUUUUAAAUACCACUUCGGUCGUCUUAUACUUUCUCACUUUAAUAUUUUAUAGUUUAAAGUAUAUCACUUUCGUAUCAUGUGAUUUUAUUUUUUUUCUUUUUAUUAUUCUCUUCACUAAUUUUUUUUGUUAAAUCGGUGAAAAAGUUAAAAAUAAUAGGUACUAAAGUGAAUAUUCGAUAAACUGUAGGUGAGAUAUUUGAAAUUUUUUGUAUAUGAUUUAACGAAAAGUUAAUGAAGUACCGACGAAAAAAAAAUAAACUACAAAAUACUAAAUUGAUACAUUUUAAAUCACAGAAUAAUAAAAUAAAAAAGUGCGAAACUAAAAAAGUGGUAUUUGAAGUUUACCCUUGAAAGAAAGGUUCAAGAGAAAGUUAUUAUCCUCAUAUUUUUCUCGGAUGGAACUUCAGCACACCUGGGUAACCAACGAACGGCCUAAAUAUAGUCCGAGUAUCCUGUAGUGGCCAUGUGGUAAAUUAUAUGGCCGGAAAAAAAUAAUAUUAUUUUUAGGCUAAAUUACAUAAAAUUUUUCAGUCAAAACUCAAUUUUUCACUUUUUUCCUCUGUCAUUUAGAAAUCUACACUUUGUCCCCUUAUAAAAUAAAAAAUGUUCACAGAUAGUACGGUGUAAAUAGGGGUGGAAUUGGGCCAGGGCCUAAGCAAUGCCCGGCCCGAUGGGCCAUAUUUAGGCCGGGCUUUGGGUAUUAAAAAUAUAAUUUUGAAUUUGGGCCGGGCUUAAAAAUUUAGGCCCGAAAAAAUUUUUGGUCUAUUUGGGCAUGUCCAGGCCCGGCUCGAGCCCGAUCCGAAAGCCCGAUAUAUUAAUUAUCAAAAUAAAAUAUUUAAUUUUAUAUAUAUAUAUAUAUAUAUAUAUAUAUAUAUAUAUAUAUAUAUAUAUAUAUAUAUNUAUUUAUAUAUAUGAGGAUAUAUUAUACAUUAACAAUUUAGUUUCAUAUUAGGAUAUAUUAAAUAGUAUUAUUAUAUAUAAUUAAUUAAUUCUACAUAUCUAUGAAUAAAUAUAUUUACAUAUUAUUAUAUAUAACUAAUUAGUUAUGUACAUAAUACUUACUAAAUAUAUAUUAUUUUAAAAUUUUCAAAGAAAAUUAAUUAGACAUUUUAUAUACAUAAUUUAAGGAUAAAAUUAAAAUUUAAAAUACCAUAAUGGUGUUUAAAAAACCACAUAUGCCCUAAUUAAUUAAACGUUCUAUACUUCGACCAUUACAUAAGAAGUUCGUAUCCUACAUAAGUGGAUAAUUAUUGGUACACAUUAAUGGUAUUAUAUUUGAUGUUGAUACAAAUUUCUUUGAUGUGAUCAAACCCCAAUAAAAAUAGGUAUUUUAUUUUAAUUUUGUACAAUAAAAUUAUUUAUGUAUUAUAUAAUAAAUGCAUAAAAUGGGCCUCCAUAAAGCCCGAUGGGUAUUGGGCAUUGGGCUUGGGCUUGGGCUUGAGCCGGGCCUUAAUUUUCAAAAAAAAAGUGAGUAAAAGUCCAACCCGAAGCCCAAUAUUUUCUUUUAGGCCGAGCUUGGGCAUACUAUUACCCGACUCAAGCCCGGCCUAGUUCCACCCCUAGGUGUAAACAGUGAUGACAAAAUGACCAUUUUGCUCAUCACCAUUUUCGGCAACAGGAGAGAAAACUGAUGACAUUUUUUGUAUAAAAAAAUACAUAAAAAUAUUUUAUAAACGGAACCCUAACGGAUCAUUAACAGCAGGGGUGAAAUGAAUAUUUUUCAUUUUACAAGGAGACAAAGCAUAGGUUUUAAAUGACAAUGAGGGAAAGUGAAAAAUUGAAUUUUGACAUGAGGGUUUUCAGUAAUUUAGCCUUAUUUUUAAUCACAGGAGGAAGCAUUCUAGACAUAUUUUGGAUGACAUUAUAAACGUGCAGAGUCUUGCCCAGGAUGACAGAGUGAUGAGUGAAUGUGUGUGUGGGUCGUUGCAGGGAAUAUAUAUAUAUAUAUAUAUAUAAAAUUGAGCUUCUAUGCUUUUAAAAGUGCCAAGUCAUUGGUGCUUGUAGAUUUUUAACCAUUGAAUUAAGAGAUGUGCGGUUAGGAUGAUGUGGGCCCCUUAGGGUUGAGUGGGCGGUUGGUUGAAUAGUAUAAUCUAAUGGUUGAAAAUGAUCCGAAAAGUAGAUCUAACAGUAAAAAAUUUACAAUNNNNNNNNNNNNNNNNNNNNNNNNNUUCCGAUAGCAUAGUAGCUCUACUAUAUAUAUAUAUAUAUAUAUAUAUAUAUAUAUAUAUAUAUAUAUAUAUAUAUAGUGAGGCUGAUAUACUUCUGGAAAUACGAAGUCCUUCGUGCUUCCAAGUCGUUUUCGAUAUCGGCUCCAUUAGACUUGAUAUAGAAUAUAUGAAAUACCUAGAAAAUAAAUUUUGCGAUUUUUCGAUAUUAUUUGCAUAGUGAUCGAAGGAGCUCAAAAUUAACGGCUAAAAAUAAAAAUUUUCUAAAAUAUGAUGGUAUGAUAUUAAAAUUUUAAAUUAAAGAUACUGAUCUUAUCUUGUUUUAUAUAGUAUAUAAAAUUUUCUAUCAAAAUUUCACGUGAUUUGGAUAUUUCUAUACCUUUAAAUUUGCAAACCGCUCAUCAUAACUAUUAAAAUUAUUGAUUUUGAUCUUCUUUGAUCACUAGGCAAAUGAUAUCAAAAAAUUAUAAAAUUUAUUUUCUAGGUAUUUCAAAUACUCUGGAUCAAGUCUACAGAGCUGAUCGUCGAUUCGAAAGUCUUAAUAUUGAAAACGACUUGAAAGCUCAGAGAACUCCGUACUUUUAGAAGUAUACCAGCCUCACUCAGGGCUAUUCUAAUUUUAUGAGGAUCGGAUAUUUUAAUUUAAAAUCGGAGUUAUUGAUCUUUAUUUAGAUAUUGAAUAAAAUUUUUCAUCAAAAAUCAACUGAUUUCAAUUUUUUUGUAUCGUUAAAUUAGGAAAUAUUCUAUACUACCCAUUAAAAUUAUUAAUUUUGAGAUUUUUUGAUUGUAAGGUAAAUGAUUUCAAAAAAUUAUAAAAAAUUGAUUUCUAGAAGUUUCAAAUGUCCUAGAUAAUUUUUAACGGUAUAGAUCGCCGAUUUGAAAGCUCUAUUAUCGAAAAUGACUUAUGAGUAUAAAGACGAUUGUAUUCAUAAGAUUAUAGUAGUCAGACUCUAUAUAUAUAAAUUAAACAGUGCACAUUUCAAAUGCUCUAAAUUAUGUUUAGACAAAUCGUCGUUUUGAAAGCUUUUUUUUAUUUUUUUAUAGAGAGAAAAAUAGCAUGCCAUUCGCUUUAUUAUUAUUCAUUAAGUUUAAUGAAUUAGGCGAAAAAAAGU